UUUUUUUUUUUUUUGUUUUGGAUAAUUUAGAACUGUAGCCUUACGAACCAAAAACAUGCAGUAGAAUAUUUUAUCUGUAAAAUGAAGUAAAUCUAAUCAAUAUGAUGACAAGAAGACCAAGAAAAUGCAAUAUAUAGUUGAAUCUACGAAUCAAACAACUCAGUAGACAAAGAAUCCUGAAAUUGCACUGAAAUUAACCACCUGAAAACUACAUUACAAGGUGCCACACUAGAUAGACUAUAAUGAAGCAUUUGAAAGUAGCUUUUGAUGAGUUACCCUGCAAUUGCAGUAGUCCAAUUUCCACCAUCGCACUAACUUCUGUUCAAGCUUUAAUUGCUUUCUCAACCAACAACUUUUGGAAUUUUAAUUGUUGUUAUAAUUUGACAAAAUAGUGCUUGAUUUUUGGAAGUUGACUAUAACGAUUACACCAUAAAGUUGUUUGCUCCACAAUGGACAUAAUAAUGACAAUCAAAAGUUCUGUGGCCACAUUUGGUACUUAGAGUACCUAUCUUGUAAUUGACCACACAAAGGCAAGCCAUUAACGUGGAAAAGGAUUGUUCGCCCUCCGCAAUGUCCUGGAAAAGAGGGGUCAAGUUCCUAUGAAGCUAAUGAUUAUGAUCAGGGAAAAUAUGGACGCUUAGAUUGUUUCAGCAGCGGAAGAGCCACAUGACUCAACUCUUGUGGCUUCGCAUAUUAUUAUAUGUGACUCCUCUAAUAAUUUAAAAUAUCUACGUAAUAUUUCUGUGAUUUUAUGUAAAGUAGAUAUUCAACGAAAAAUAGCCUUUAUAAAGUGCUAAAUAGAUCAAAGUUCUAAUCAGUUUGUAUAAAUACAAAAUAACAAGGAGGUUAAAUGGUUAUUUAUACAAAAUUACAGGGAAUUACGAGGAUAUUAUAAUUUCAUCACACUCAUUUUUGGAGCGCAUUCAAGUCAAUCGCUGUAACCGGAGGUACUUUCUGUGCGUUUUGUCCUUUAUAUAAAAUUAUGAUAAAGUUAUGUGGAUAUUUUAAAAUUUUAGAAUGAUCAUGUGGUAAUAAACAAAACUACCGGGGGUGCUUAUAGUAAUUUAUCCUAAAAUCGAAGGUAGUACUUUAACAUAGGUAGUAUCAAACGAAAAAAUAAUUUAACUAAAGACUAAGAAGUUUAAACAUGACAUAAAAAUAAGAAAGUUUAAACAAGACAUUUCAGAGGUUUCUUGGUUGCCCGUUCCUAUUGCAUACCAUAGAAUACUAUAUUUAUUGAGAUUGCGAAACUAAUUGGAGUACUAAUUCUGGAAAACUCUCGCACUUUUGCUGUAACUCCUUUCCAAACCCCACUUGUUUUGACUGUAAUUUACUUAUCUGCCUUUACUUAGGAACUGUAAUCCACUUGUGUUGCCUUAUACUUUUGUUUAACGUUGACUUGAGUUGAACAGCCGACCACAAAGUAAAAACCACAUCCACAUCAGAAACAACACUACGUACCACUACAAUGUCUAGAGACUUCCGUUCGUUUCACUUUAUAGAUCAUUAAAAUUGUCGGAACAUUUGCCAUUAUAUGCCGUUGAUUAAGCGGAGUUAAAAACUCAGGUGUACAAUAUUAGGUAUACCAUGAAUGCCACGUGACGAUGCAUUAGUAUCAAUAAUAAGUCACCAAAUAUUAUGGGGGAUUAUUCUUUGUCUGAUUUCUACUAAACUAAAAAUAACUCGCUAUUAUUAUUUGACGAUGCGUAAUUGAUACUAGCACGUCACAUGACAUGUGAUGUAGUCUACGUGGCAUACUCAAUACAUUCUCAAUUCAGACUACGAAAAUCACGUUAAAUUUCGGUCUGAAUCGAUAUCAAGAAUCGAAAGGUCUAUGAGAAAAUCAACUUUCAUACCAAGAUUUAUUUAAUUUUAGAAGCAUCUAAAUGUGAUUGCAAAUGGAGCGCUCGAAAAGUAAAUAAUUAAUCAAAGUGGCAAAAAUAUUUGUAAUUUAUUACGUACUAACAAAUUUGCAUUGUAAAUUGUAAAUCUUGCACAAAAACUAAACACAGAAAUGAGCAGAAGCAGCCGUUUAAUAAAUAAAACAAUGCGCUCUUUAGGAUUCUGUGUGCCCCUGUUUCAACAAAUUUCCCACAUCGUUGAUGUAACUACAUGGUCCUUCUUCUCAGGAUCCAUCUAGAUUGCAUCCAGAAGAAGUUUAAGAAAAAUAAUACUAUAACACUUUCCUAGUAAGUGCAGUCGCUUGGAAAUCUUUGUGAAGAAACUUUAAAUCAUACCAAACCAUAACAACCCUAGAUUCUUUGGUCUUUUGGUUGGUAGAUUUUUGUCCUUUUUAAUUCGAAAUGAACUGAACGUUUACGUACCAAACUGAGAAUGGACCAUCAUAGAAUUUUAGUCCGGUUACAUCUCUAUAUGGUAGGAUGGUUUUUGGAUUCAUGAAGCGUCGUAUCCACCAUUACAAUAUGAGAGAAUGGCAAAAAGAGUUAUUAAGCUAUGCACAAUUUGGUGAUUUGAUCACUAAACUUUUUAUUUAACCAUAAUUGCCAUUCAACUAAUCAAAUAGUGCAUUUUUUUGGUCACUUAACUAAUAAAAACUUAUACUUUUAAUCACUUGACUAAAUAAAAAUAUACAUUCUUUUAUCACGAGAAGUAUGUUUUAAUUAAUUGAAUGAUCAUUUUAGCUAAAUAAAAAGUUUAGUAGCUAAAACAGAACUAUAAAUAGUAUAGUGAAAAUUUGUGUCAUUUGCUCUUACAAUAUUAAACCCAACAUUCAAUUGCGUCACAAUUUGAACACUACAUUGCCGUGUAAUUUCUGUAUUGAAUAUAUUCAUGAACCCUCGUGAACGAUAAGUUCCACUAGGCCUUGUGAAAAUUUGGUGCCAAUUCUUCUGUGGAUGAGAAUUUCAUCAUUCUUUUGUCACCCUCCACUUGCACAGUGUGCUCAGCAGCACAUCAACAAGCCAUUUUUGUUACCCAUUUUGACUUAAUAUAAUUGUCAUCAUGCCCUCCACUUAAAGUCAAAAAGCCCAAUUUCCCUCACACAACAGUUGUUCAAAUCUUCACAUGCAAAAAGGAAAAGGAAAAGAUAUGUGAAGAUCAUCAAAACCGCGUUGUGCAAAUAUAAGCCCUCCACAAGAUUUUUGUGUUUGUUGCUAUUACACCUUUUUGACUUGUGUUGAUUUGAUUGCCUCAACCAAACAUCACCAUACAAAACACCCACACCACCAUCGUAUAUAUUGCUCAUUUGUCCACAAUCAGAAUGUAUAAAAUGAAGCACCACUAAGCUUUAUUAUUACCCCAACCAAGAAAACAUACAGAACAAUUGGGAUAAAGGAAAGAGUUUUGUCUGGAAAUGGCAGGCAGUUUUCUUCUUCGCUUACUAGUGCUUCUUCUUUGUGUUUCUCAGCUCAUCUGCUUCAUGAAUGCUGUACCAGUUACUAGUAAGUAAUCGUACUUGUUUUUCUUAACUUGUUUCUGGCUUUAAAAUCAUUCAGUUUUGCUCUUUCUCCUCAUUAUACAGCUAAAACUCAGCUACACAAAAUUGUUGAUUUCAGGAAUAACGAGUUUGCAGCAUAAAUUUCAAGGUUUUGAUCAAGUCUCAGAAUAUAACAACAUGGUAACUUUAUUUUCAUGCUUUUUCAAUCUGUUGAUAAUUUGUAAGAAAAGUAUGAUCGUAUGUGCAAAAGCAUCUACUAUCUUAUUGGACUCCCUGUCUUAGAGUCCACCUUUUUCCUAUACCAUACGAGCCAAAACCUAAAUAAAAUACCUGAACUAAAUACAGUGAAGUUUACUUGUGUUGCAUACUUGGGUUCUUUUCUUUUUCUGCUUUUUUUUUUUUUUUAUAUCAUAUACUCGGCAUUUAUGAAGCCUAGAGAAAAAGAUUUGGGAAGUUUAUUUGCAUUCAUUCUUUUGUUUUUUGUUUUUUGUUUUUUUUUUUUGGAUGUUCUAGAUAGUACUCUGGGAUUGACACAGUUUUUCUCUUGAAUUACUCAGGAAAUUGUAGAAAAGAACAGUUUGAAUUUGGAGACGAUCGGCAGGAGUAGAAUGGAUCUUGAGCUGAAUGAUUAUCCUGGAUCUGGGGCCAAUAAUCGCCAUACACCGAGGCCACAAAAUUAGGGAGAUGCUCCAAGAUUUCUAUUAGAAAAAGUUGGCAUCAUUGAAGAGUCCGUGGGCAAUCCCUUUCUAGGCAACCAGAACCAGUGAAAGCAGAGUGAACAGCUCUGAUUGCUAGAUAUAUAUUCUCGUUAUCAUUAGUGUUUAGCAAAGUUGUGACCUGUAGUAUGAUUUUCUCCCCAGCUAUGGUAACAGCACAUAAUCGUAGGCAGAUUAGGAUAUGUUCUUUUUACUCAAAACUAGGAAAUGAGGGGUGAUGUUAGAAUUUAGAAGUGUGAAUUUUGAGUGUAUCAAGGUGGGAAUAAAAAGCAGGAGAAUAAUGGGAGUCAAAUUUAGAUAUAUGUCUUAUGUUUAGUCUAAUGAUAUUAAUACUUGACAACUUUACUUCUUGACUCUUUCUCAUGUUUCAUAGUGUACAUACCAUACUUUUGGGCUUUUAUAUUUCCUUUUGGCCAGGCAGAAUGGAGGAGUCAGUGUUUGAUUAAUCCAUCCCCACUGCAUAGGCCUUAAAACAGAGUUGAAGUUGCAUUUUGUUCAUCUAAUGUAACAUAAUUUCGUUUGAAUUCUGGAGUUUCUCAUUAUUAAAGUAUUCUUAUUCUAGAAUUUUCAAACACUUUUUACAAUUGCCUUUUUAUCUCAUAAGAAUAUUUAUAUUAAAAAAAAAAAGUGCUGCAAUAUAUUUUUUUAAAAGCACCCCAAGAACAACUGGCCAAAUAAAACUAUUUAAAAAAAAAGUGGAAAUAGAUAUGGUAUACUCCACUUUAAUAGUUUUGGAUCUUUAAUUUUGAUUUUGCUAAUGGCAUGGGCCGCCAAACACUUGAUUAAUAGAUGUACACUUGUUCAUCUUCCAUAUGCAUUAACCCUUUUUUCACCAUCCAAGAAGUACAAGCAUCACUAGCAGCCUUUUUGGUGAAAUUUUUAAUUGAGGAGUUGGUGUUAGACAGCCAAAAAGUUGUUAAUCUAUAUGGUUGUUUAAGGUAUGCAUAUAAAGUUAGGUAAACCACUGCUUUAAGUAGAAGGUCUAGUAGAAGUAAAUAUCUAGAUCAAACUGGAGAUUAGUUUAUCUUCAGUGGAGACAGUGGAGUUUGAAGAAGUAGACAUCCACUUAUUUCUAUGGCUUUCAUUUGUUAGAUGCAUUCUUGUAUGGUCCAAGAAAAUGGAAGGAAUAGAAUUUAUCAGCUAAGGACUCGUGAGACCACACAAUAUGCCCUUGGAUGUUGUAAAACAAGAUACCAUGUCAAGCCAUUAAUCAUUUUUUAAAAAUCCUGCAAUUAUAUGCAUAAAAUAUCUAAAAUUCAAUUUUGUCCCUUGUGUGGACUGGAGGUUAGGCCUUGAUAUAAACUAGUUGCAAUAUGUUAUAAGAAAAUUUUAUGCUAUUAGGAUGUUUCAUGCUCUUGAGUAUACAUUUUUAAUGCCAAUUUCUCUUUGCACCCUCACAAAGUACAUGCAACAAUCAAUGCUUUGCGAUCAGACAAAAUACUACAUCCUAAUUCAUUAGCAAACCUAGUAACAUUGAGCAAGAUUAACUUCGUGAUUUUUCCUAACAAAGUUGUGGUAUCAAGAAUUAGCUUUUUUGCUGGUCAGGAAUAAAGAACUUGAUGAUUAUGGUCCAGAAUAUGGUGUCUAUAUCUUGUAAUUUGCAUAAUAUCUGAUUAAGACUUUAAUUAAUAAAUAACAUCUUCAAGGUUUCAUGACCAUACAAUUAUAUUAUUGCAUGUACAUGUAAUGAUUAGAAUGUCGUGCAUAUGUUGUGGACAAUUUCAUACAUCUCGAUAAACCUAUGAACAGCUACCACACAUUGGGGUUAAAAGUACCAUGUUGUGCUCUGAGAAAAUGCUUUACAAGAGAUAGUUAGAAAAUGCACCCAAAAAUCUUGCACGCAUCUUUUUGACAUAAAGCUAUGGAUUAAUUGCAAAUUUUGUAACCUAUAUUGUGUUCCCACAAAUUUUCUUCGAGUCCAAAAUCUGCUAUGAGAAAAUUAAAGUUGUUUAAUGAUCAACGGUCUCUACUGCUCAUUUUUGUAUCCUCAUUUAGAUUCUAAAAGUUCUUAUUGUCCUUUUGCCUUAAUAAAAAUUGAAUUUACCUACAAAAACAACUGUAAAAUCAUGAGAUAUGUUUAAACGAUAGAUACAAAAAUAUGGAUUUCUAAAAUUAAGGAGGCGCGUUAUUAUUUAAUUCGUAUUUGCUGUAUAAGUUGUAAACCGUUUAGAAUAGAAUUUUUUGUAAAAAUUAACACGAAGCAAAUGCGUCCUUGUUCGUGCAGGUAUUCAUUUUUUUUCUUCUUAUAACAUGUACGAAAAAGUUAAAAGGAACCUAUUCACAAGCUCCUUUAGUGCUUACUAAGUUUCAAAAAAAAAAUGUUGAACAAUCAUUAUUUACACUGAACUUCUUAGUCACACGUAAAAUUUUCAACAAUUAUGUAUAGAGUCAUGUAAAUGUUCGCAGUACUAGAUUUAACAAAAAAAAAAAAAAAAUUAGAGGAGAAGAAGUGCAAAAAUGUAUUCCUAGCGUGAUGAGGAUGGUGGCAUGGCUGGUGAUGAAGCUUGAGUCAAGAAUGGGAGCUUUUUGAGGAGCUCAUUGGCGAUCAGCUCAUUAGCGGCGUCUGAGGGGUGGUACUCAUCCCAGAACACGUACUUGCUCCGGUCCUUGCACAAUGAUGAUACCGGAAUACAUGUUAGAGCUGGUCGGAUUUUCCCAAAUGAGCAGCAUGGCGAGUCAGCGUUCGAAAACCCUGCAAAUUGAUUGAAUAUUAGCACUACUAAUUGAGUUUAAGUCAUUUUAAAGUAAAAGGGAUGAGUUGUUUUUGAAUCACAUUACACUAUGAUGACCUUGUUUACAAUAUACCUCAUGCUUAGGGACAGACAAGAUCAUGAUGGAGUAUUACUACUACUUUUAUUACAUUAUCAUUCAAGAAUUGUGUGUGUGUGUGUGUGUUUUUCUUUUAAUAUUGCUCAAUGCAAAUGAUGCAUUUGGCUUUCACUGCAUAGGUGUAAAGUGGUUACUUCUAGAUUAGCUCGAAUUGAAGUUUGAAUUAGUGUAGGAAUCAUCAAUUGUAAGCAUAACUGUUUACAUCUUGCAAUCUAGGAUAUGGAGUUCAUUCAUUUUGGCUUUUGAUUUCAUGAAUGUAUAUAUAGGAGUAUUUGUUUUUGACAACACUGGUUGAUAUGCUAAAUUCUUUUCAUAUUAUAAGACACGAAUUAUUGGAAGACACACACAAGCUAUAUUGAUUUUGUUGGCUUAUUUCCUACACAUCAUUUGAGUGUAAGUAAGAAGAAUUUCCUACAUAUACAUGCUAGUAAUAAAUUUGUAGAAAUCAAACUACACCAUUUGUUGCUGUGCACAAAAAUUGAAGAGCUAAACCGAAUCAACGCUCAAAAGUUUCAUAUUAAAUUUACCGUCAAAAAGAUAAUGUGCUACGCAUGUAGACCCGUAGUUAUAUAUAUUGACAGUGUAAGAAAAAUUAAUCCUUAUUCUUAUUUAAAAAAGAAAAAGACCAGAUUUUAACAUAAGAACAAAAGCAUAAACAUGAUGUGAUCAUGUGAUAUUCCCUUUUUACCUGUUCAAUAUUUCCCAAACAUAAGCUAAAUUUAACAAGUUAACUUACCAUUUUUAGAUGGAUUACUUAUGACUUCGUUGACAACAUCAUAAGCAUCUCCAAAAUGAUAGGUCGCAUUUGGAAGGCUGUUGGACAAAUCUGCAACAAGCUUGCCUGCUUGUUGGUUGAAGCUUUGGGCCAAUUUGUUUGUCCUGUCCUGGCAUUCACCAGACGAACUCAAAACCCUUUGGAGUGGGAUGCAACCCAUUGGUCCCAGUCCAAACACCAUCACUUUCCUUGCCCCUAAGCCGUGCAGAAGCUACAAUUUGACAAAAGGAAAAAUACAUUAAAAAAAAAAAGAUCAACAAAAUUGUACAACUGCUUGAAUGAUCAAUAAUGGAGCUGCUGGAACUUGGAGCUAUAUAUGCAAUUUAUGCUUGUGUAACAUAUACAUAUGAAGUAUGGUAUAUGUAUUAGCUAUUUUUAUUGAUUAAACGCUUUAAAAACGUAAACCUCUCUUUGAACUAAAACAGAUCUGAAUGCAUACCACAUAUAUAAAAGAAUAAUUUAGUAGGAAUACUAUCGUGUUAACUUCUUAUAAUUGAGGAGUUAUCGAUGAAUUACCGUAAGUUGAUCUCGAAAUGUACGCAUCAAAUACUGAACAAAAGUUUUGUCAUUGUAAGUAGAAGCAUCGUUGUAAAUUAUUGGCAUCAAGUAGUUGUUGAUGAAGUCAUUGCUUCCCAAAGCUACCACAUAAACAGCAUCCUGGAAAAACUUUUCAGCUGCAGUGUCGCCAAGUUUGGCCCUUAUCAGUUCUUGUGUUCCUUGAAACAACUCGAUUUGUUUGUAGAAGCAAAUUCUCUGGAUCUGAAUUUUGUGAUUGUCCAAUAUAUUUUAGUUUAGUAGGUACUACUUACAAGAUACAAAGAGACAAACAAAAAUGACCGAGAAAGCAAUACCAAGAAAAAAAAAAGGAGGUGGAUUAUUUUUAUUAGAUAGAGUUGUGUGUCAGAAAAAAAAAAAGUAUCAUUUUACUCAAUUUUUUUGAACUUACAAACAAAGAACCCGUCUCAUUCAGAAUCCCACCACCUCCAGAGGCAUAAUUCACUCCACUGUCUAAGAUAACAUCUUCAGUUAAUGAUUGAUCCAUGAAUGCAGGAGGCCUUGGAAGUCCCAUCUUAUCGCCUGAAAUUCACAAAACCAUCCUCAAGACUCCAAACCAAAUCAUAGUAAACAUCCAAAACAAAAGCACAAAAUUGUUCAUUCCAGCUCAGGACAAGGGCUAAAACGGCUGAUUAUCGCUAAUCUUACCACAAUAACGUUAAAACAUUGAAUAAAAAGGAGUUAGAACUUCGAAGUUUUACCUACUAUAUCUGCAACCGUUCUGCCAUUAGAGAACCUCCCAUUAGGCAGCCCGCUGUCCAUAUCAAUACCAUACCAGGGAAGGUUUGCCUUAGCAAGGCUCUUGGAUAGAAAGUUGUUGUUGCCCACAUCCGAAAGGGAGUCCCCAAAGAUGAAUUGCACAGCUUUGCAGUCAUAUCCUUUGAAAAAGACAACUUGAAGAAGAAUUAGAGAUGCCAGAAAUGCUACGUACAACUUCAUAUUGUUGCAUGAACUUUUUGGUUUUUUAAGGCCGAGCAAGAGAAAUGCUGCGUACAACUUCGCAAUUAAAAGUAGUGGAAAUUAUAGUCAACAAAAAAGAGGGUUCAACUGGGAAAGUGGUGAGGAUCAAUAUUUGGUGGAAAGGGAAUGUUUAGAGGGCAAGAAUGGGAGAUGGGUAGAGAUAGUUUGCUGAACCAACACAAGAGGUUAAAGAUUCCAACCUAAAUUCAUCUACCUGCCUUCUGUUACAACGGCGGGAAUCUAACGGGCCUGAAUUUCAACAGUUGCAGUACUAGAAUUCCUGGGCCGUUAGAUUAUAUAUGCAGUUGCAACUCCCAAGUAUUAGUAGUUAAUUGCUAUUUUGAAGAUAAGAGUUUUUGAAGGCCGUUGCGUAAGUUCACCUAAUAUUAGAUUGUCAUUUUCGAUACAUUGUGGACUCUUCUAUCCUCUUCUUCGAAGUUUGGACUUUGGACUGUUCUUAUAAGCAAAAAACUUAAGAAAAAAAAUAGUCAUUUUCAAUCAGUUCGGGUAUGAAAAUGUUGAAUAUAGGCCAACUAGAUUUUAACGCAGUAAACGGAAGGCAGAUUUAGAAAUUAAAUUAAUCUAGCUUUGCUGAAUUUUAGAUCUAAAAGGAAAUCUAAUGCAACUACGAAGUUUGUCACUCUUGGCAACAAAUUUUUCCUUUAUAAAUUAGUCUUACCCUUGCUCACAUUUUGAAACGAAAGAGAGGCACAAGUUUUUGUGGGAUAGAUUUGUUAUUCGAGUUAGCUACUUCAUGUGUAUCCCAACAAGAAAACUGUAUCAAAUUUGGCCAAGCAUAGGCACAUUUUCUUUUUCAACUUCGUACGGUAUUUGAAUUGAUUAAUGUUUUUUACACUGAUAGUACAAAUAAUUCUUACACAAGCAGGUCUAAAUGUAUUUCAGUGUGUGAAAAGGAGAUUAUAGAUGUAACCAAAAUAUAUGUGUAACAAAUUUAAACCUAUGUAUGUUUAAAAAAAUCUAUACUAUAUAUAAAAUGGAAGAGUGUCCAUUUGGUAUAAACAGUUCAUGUCGCUUAAUGUUUUACCAAAAAUGUCCUUUAAAAUUAAUUUUCAAAUUACUCAGAUUUCCUAUUUUUCUCUACCAUGAUGUUAAGUAACGUCUACUCAUAUCACUUCUUUUUCUCUACCAUGAUUUUAAAUACAACAACUUCCUAAUAAACAAAAAAAAAAAAUAGUACUCUAAUGUUAUAUUAAAAAAAUGCCUUUUAAAAAAGCACAUAUAUCAUCUAACAUGAUUCUAUAUAUAAUAGUUGAUUAUAAAAAAAUAAUUAAUUAUAUAAUUUUGAAAUAAGCACACACACUUAGGAAUGACACUAAUAUGAUGUAGGAAGAAUCAGAACUUUGUACAUGUUAAAAAUUUGUGGGUCACGACUCUAAACUUUUUAUGUUAAAGGAUUCUUUCACCAACCGUGCAGAAAUCUAUAGCAAAUUGGGUCAAGUCUUUGGGCCUCCCACAGAUAUACUAACUGACGAAGAGAAAAACAGCGAUCAAAACUAUUGUUGGAUCUCUUGGGCCAGUGCACAAUUAUUUGACUUCUGCUAAAUCUGUGGCCCUUGGAUUUGGUAUGCACUUAAAGAGUUCCAAUUUCUGGUUACUUUUGUUUCUAAUGAGUCCAAAGAACUGUCAAUUUACGAUCAUGAGAGCCCAAAUGCAUUUGCAUGGCGAUCAAUUCUACUAGGGUGGGGUAAUUCCUAAUUUUAAUCCUUCAUCUCUACGGAAUUCUUACUUUGGCCUCUAAACCUCAAAGUAUGACAUUUUAGUUCUUAAAGUUUAAAAUUUGUUCCACUUAAAUAAAAUCUAAAAUUUUAUUGAUAGAUUUUAUUUAAGUGGGACAAGUUUGAUACUUUAAAAACUUAAAUGUCCAAUUUUAAACUAUAAGGACCAAAGUGAGAAGGGUAUAAUUGAAAAGUGCAAAGUAGAACUAACCAGUUUCUUUUGUAAACCAAAAAAUAUUAGGUUAUUAUUUCAGGGAUGGAUUAAUUUCACUUUGUACCUCCAUACUUAUAUCACUUUCCUAAUUUGUAACCCAAACUCUUAAUUUUGGACACUUUGCACCCUAAUUCUCAAGUUUAUCAAAUUUAAAUCCAAUCAAUGACUACAUUCACAAAUUAAUGAGAUAAAAAGCGGUGAAAUCAAUGACAAUGUACCGUUUUGUUCUAAUUGCAAUCCUUAACUUUUGGACCACUUUUAGUACAUUUUUAUUGAUUUAUAAGGUUUCAAUUACUAAUAUUAUUAGUAAAGUUAACGAGAUAAAAAGAUGGUGCAAAUUAAUGAUAAUGCAUGAUUUCAAUUUUGUUUGAUAUCUUGGCAUCUUUUGAUUACUUUUGACACAUUAUCAUUGAUUUACAGAAUCCUCUAUGUCAUUAAUUUUGCUAAAAUUAUCAUUGAUUGGAUUUAAAUAGGACAAAUUUAAGAGUUUGAAAUACAAAAUAUCCAAAAUUAAGAAUUUAGGGUAUAAAAUCUCCGAAGUUGAAGUUAAAAGUAUAAAGUGAAAAGGUGAUAUAAGUUAGAGGUUGCAAAGUGGAGUUUGUCCUUUCAGGGAUAUAAUUUGAUCAGGCACUGUCAUCAAUGUCAAAGGAGAUUUGAGCUUUGGCAUGAACUCCAUUUUUCCAACAGCUAUCCAUACAUGAAGGAACAACUUCAUUCAUUAAAAAAAAAAAAUUAAUUCUACCAAUUGCAUGCCAUGUCAACCAUAUUCAUGAAGUAGUAGUUGAAAUCCAGAAGGUCCUUCUGGUUUGGUGCUUUCCUUAAAUCACUCGGGCAUUGAUCUUGUUAAAGAAGUAACAAAUGAGCAUGUACAUUUUUAUCUAAUUUGGAAAAUUAAAGAACUAUCUGCACUUUGAGUCACUAAUCGCGACAUAGACACUAAACUAGAUUUCAUUUGCAGCUAAAUAUUACUUCUACCGUUAUUAGGCGGAAGUUGUAAUACUCCCUCCGUCCCACUUUGAUAGUCCGGUUUCUUUUUUCAUACAGUUUAAGAAAAAGUAGUUAACUUUGUUGGAAAAGUAAAUUUAGAUUGCUAUUUUCCUAAAAUACCCUCACAUUAAAUAGAGUACAACUUUAUGGGAACUUGAAUUGAUGGUAAAAAAAGAAUCAACUCUCAUUAAAUGGGGUAGGUUUAUAGUAACAAUAACUUACAUUGAAUAAGGGCAUUUUAGGAAAAUUAAAAUACAACUACAUUCUUCAAUUGAAAAGUAGACUAUAAUUUGGGACAGACGAAAAAGGAAAACAUGACUAUCAAAGUGGAACGGAGGGAGUAUCAUUUUUGACCAUGGGAGUUACUCUUAAUAAAGAGUCUAGCAAUGUAAUUGACCUGAGAAAGUCUCCUUUCUAACCAGACAAAGUGAUAAUUGAAUGAUAAUUAUUUUAAGCCCUCUUUCUCUUUCAUGAAUUAAUUAGGUUAGACAUGAUAAAUGACGUCAAUUCCCUAAAAUGAGUUAAAUGGAGGAAAAAAAUAUGUAAUAUUCCCUGCAAAUUUUUUUUUGGUAGAUAUGUCGCAUUUCCUCGUUUCAACAAAACUCAUUGGGUUAUCAUUGUGAAUUGAGAAAGGUAGAUUUUUAUGAUUGUUCUACAAUCGUAAAUUACUUUAUUGGAAUACUGAUUUUUUUUUUAUCCAUCCCUCUCUACACUCUUUUCACUUCCAAUUUUGAGGCACAGAAUUCGAAUUCAAAUUCUAAAUCUGAUAAAUGCGUAGAGAGCUAAGAGUUUUUCUAUGACCACUGGACCAACCCCAGUAAUUAUUGGAAUACUAGUUGUCACAGGCUCACAGCGAAUAUGUUCUCGCUUUAAAUGACUUGAAAGUUUUAGGAGAAGGUCCAACCUCCUGACUUUACACCACUGUGCUGCAAAACAAAAAAAAAGGAAUAAAAACUUUACAUCACUAUGGUUUCUUGUCAUCGUCCUGUUCAGUAGUGACAAAAAGUAAGCCAAGUUAUUAGCUAAAUUUAGGCUUUCUGAAUUUGUUCAUCAACUAUUAAAAUUUAAUGUCAACAAGAUAUAUGGUAACAUGUGUACCACAUCACAUUCCCUAAAAGUUGAAGGAAAAAAGAAGAUUUUAAUAUAAACUUUUCCUUCUAAUCGAAGUGUGUUUGCAUAAGUGAUUAUUUAAAAUAUUAUUUGAAAUAAUGAUAAUAAUUUUUUUUUAAAUAUAAUGUAUGUGAAAUUAAAAUGAACUAAAAAAAUAAAAAAUUAAUUAAGAACUAUAUUUAUGAUACAAGUAGAUAUUCUUUAGAAUAAUUUGUCUAUCCAAAUUGUGGAUGCUUGCGUAGGAGGCUAUUACAAUUUUUGGUUCAACUCGAAUAAUAGUCACAAAGUAGUAGAGUUUAAAGAUGAACCAAAUUAAUUAAUACUCGAAUCGAGUUCGAUUUAAUAAAAACUCGUUCGAGUUUGAUUCGCCAAUUAAUCAAAUUAAACUUAAACAGGGUAGGUUGUCCCCUUCGCGCUUUAAGUGUUACGAGGCCUUAUUUUCGAUAACAUUCAAAGUUAAUAAAAAAAACUUAUUCAAACUCGAUUCAACAAAUAAAUAAACCAAAUUCGAACAAAAUCUCAAAUUUAUUAAAAUAAUCAAACAAAUUUAAACAUUAGAUGAUCGAUUUGAUUUGACUCGUUUACACUCCUAUAUAUUAGUGGAAUGUAGUAUUUUCAAAUUCUUAAUUAAAGAGAUCAAGCUGUUCUCCGGUCUUAACUUGCAUCCUGGUGCUCAACUAAUAAUUUAGAAAAAAAAAAAAAAAACCAAAUUUGUGAAGCAAAGUUAAAGACUUGAAGUACCAUGCAAGCUCCCUACGUGGAAAUAGAUUGAAGAUUGUGGUACCACACCACACAUGGCAAUAUCCUAUUUGCAGGUGCCAACAUUUGGACCCCAAAACUCAACCAUAAUAAAGUACUCCGAAAACCGAGCACUCGGCCAUUAAUAGAGCUUUAUAGCACGAUUUGGACGUAGGCUAAUAUCUAGGGCUUUUUUGAAAAAUCGGCAGUAAUUCGUUGGAUUCCUUUUGAUCUCUUUAUGUUCCCAUCCCUCUGAUGUAAAGUAAGAGUAAAUAUAGAAUAAAAUCCAUCGUACCAAGCAAAAAAAAAAAAAGUACUCGGCUUUGAAAUUGCGUGGCACAAUUGAAGCCACUUCGUCUGCCAUUUUCUGGUCCUAUAUAUUAACGUUCAUUUUUAUGUAAGUAGCACAGAAAUAGACAGUUACCAAAAUAUUGACUUUGGAUUCCGUUAAUAAUUGAGUUAUUUUCAUAGUUAAGAGAUGAAGCUAAUAUACGUAGCACAGAAAUAGACUAUAACCAAAAUAGUGACUUUGAUUCCUUAAUAAUUAAAAGUUAGAAAUUCAGUUAUUCUCAUAAUUAAAAGAUGGAGCUAAUGUACAUUGUUCCUAAUUUCUUAAUUGUCACCUGCUUAUUUUUAGGGGUGUCAAUUGAGUUUUUUUAGCCGAGUUUAGUAAGUCCAAACUAGUCUCAUAAAUUAUUUGUAUUUUUUAAUUUCAGGUUUUCGGGCUUCCAGCUCAUAUUAAAAAACUUAAACUCAACUCACACGAUUAUAUAAGUUUCGGCCUCAAAUUGGGUUUGAACAAAAUUCAUAAUUAUAUAUAAUAUAUAUUUUAUAAUUGACCUUAAAAAGUCUCCUUCCUCACCAAACAAAAUGAUAAUUGAAUAAUAAUUAUUUUAAGCUCUCUUUCUUUUUAUGAAUGAAUUAGGUUAGACGUGACAAAUGAAGUCUGUUCCCCAAAAUGAGUUAAAUGGAGAAAAAAAUAUGUAGGAAAAUAUAUACAAUACGACUACGACUAAGGGUGGGUUUGAAAAAAUUAAAAUCUAAAAAUUGAAAUAUGAAAUCUGAAGUUUGAAUCCAAUAAGUUAUUGAAUUGAUAAAUAUUAAAUCAGAUAUAUUUGAGUGUGUAUCACAUUCAGUGAUAAGUGAAUAACUCAAAAAAUACAUCUCAAAUAUUUUAAAAAAUAAAAAAAAAUUUCCCUCUUUUUUCUUCCACGUGCUAUGUACCAUCACCACACCACCCAUUACAUUCCACUAACACCGUCACCACCCCCACACCCACAACCCCUUCCUCUCUCUCUCUCCACCUCCCAAUCCCCCCUCCCCCCUCCCCCUCUACUAACCACAAUCUUCCUGAUCGUGGCCAGAUUUGAUCGCAACUAGAAAGGUCUCGACCAAGGAGGUCGCGACUAGAGUGGUGACCGGAAUCGUAGCCAUUACCUACGAGUGGGAGAAGUGUUUGGGGCUGGGGGAGAGGAGGAGAGGAGGGAGGAGGGAGAGGAAAGAGGGAGGGGUAGGAAAGAGCGGGGAGGAGAGGGAGAGAGAGGGGGGUGUGGUAGCAGUAGGUAGUGGUAACGGAUGAUGUAACAUUUUUUAAAAAAUUCAAAAAAGUGAUAAAUUGUAAAAAAUCUCAAAAUAUAUUUUAGAAACCCCUAAAAAUACUCUUAAAAACACUUUCAAAAACAUCUAUAAUAAAAAUUUUUUAUAUAUACAUUUCUAGUAAAAUAAAAGCUAAUCUAAAUGGUUAUGGUAUAAUCAAAUAAAUUUAUACAAAUAAUAAAUCUGAAACUGCGUGGCACAAUUGAAGCCACUUCUUCUGCCACAUGCAAAACCAGUACAAUCACUCCCCUUCUGGCCAGAAAAGAAAAGUUCACUCGUACUCCAUACUCCUAUUAGAAAAUGCCCCCAAAAAAAAUCCUAAAAAGAAAGAAAGAAAGAAAGAAAACAAAUCCAAAAUCUAUCCUCAUUAUCCUCAAUAAAUCCUACCCCUCCAUCCCCACCCAUCCAACGGUCCCUAUCCCAAACCAUAUCCAUAAAAAUCAUCGAAAAAUUCCACAAAUCUUUUUUAUCUUUCUAAGUUGCUGCUGGACUUCUCUUGCUCUUGGCUGGUUCUCACUUCUUUCUCAGUAAGUAAACUAACCAAAAGAAAUAUGGCUUCAAUUGCCCUGAACCUGAAGACCUUCGUUGGACUCCGGCAAGCGUCGCCGGAGAACAACCCCAUAACCGCCCUCGCAAAACCCAGCUCCACCACCACUGCCGCCCGCAAACAGCUCCGCAUAAAUGCCGCCAAAACCAGCCCAAAAGUCACUGGCCGCAACCUCAGGGUCGCAGUGGUAGGUGGAGGCCCUGCUGGUGGCUCCGCCGCUGAGACUCUCGCAAAAGGUGGCAUCGAAACCUUCCUCAUCGAGCGCAAGCUCGACAACUGCAAGCCCUGCGGCGGCGCCAUCCCGCUGUGCAUGGUGGGCGAAUUCGACCUCCCGCUAGACAUCAUAGACCGCCGGGUCACCAAGAUGAAGAUGAUUUCCCCCUCCAACGUCGCCGUAGACAUCGGCCAAACCCUCAAGCCCCACGAGUACAUCGGAAUGGUCCGCCGUGAGGUCCUCGACGCCUUCCUCCGCGACCGCGCCGCCACCGCCGGAGCUACCCUGAUAAACGGACUAUUCCUGAAAAUGGAAAUGCCUAGCUCCAAAACAGCCCCUUACCGCCUCCACUACACCGAUUACAACGCGAAAACCGGCGUCUCCGGCGGGAAAAAGACUCUGGAAGUCGACGCCGUAAUCGGAGCCGACGGUGCCAACUCCCGGAUCGCAAAGUCCAUCAAUGCCGGAGACUACGAAUACGCCAUAGCCUUCCAAGAACGCGUAAAAAUCCCAGACGAAAAGAUGAAAUACUACGAGGAUCUCGCCGAAAUGUACGUCGGAGACGACGUCUCACCGGACUUUUACGGGUGGGUUUUCCCCAAAUGUGACCACGUGGCGGUCGGCACCGGCACUGUCACCCACAAACCCGACAUCAAGAAAUUCCAGCUCGCCACAAGGCUAAGAGCCAGAGACAAGAUUGCAGGGGGGAAGAUCAUAAGAGUGGAGGCUCAUCCCAUCCCGGAGCAUCCCCGGCCGAGGAGACUGCUGGACAGAGCCGCAUUGGUGGGGGACGCGGCCGGAUACGUGACGAAAUGCUCCGGCGAGGGGAUUUAUUUCGCGGCGAAAAGCGGGAGAAUGUGUGCAGAGGCAAUAGUUGAGGGAUCAGAGAAUGGGAAGAGAAUGGUGGAAGAAGGGGAUUUGAGGAAGUAUUUGGAGAAGUGGGACAAGACAUAUUGGCCGACUUACAAGGUUCUUGAUGUUCUGCAGAAGCUGUUUUACAGGUCGAAUCCGGCAAGGGAAGCAUUUGUGGAAAUGUGUGCUGAUGAAUACGUGCAGAAGAUGACUUUUGAUAGCUAUCUGUACAAGAAGGUUGCUCCUGGGAAUCCCAUCGAGGAUUUGAAGCUGGCUGUGAAUACAAUUGGGAGUUUGGUGAGGGCUAAUGCUUUGAGGAGGGAGAUGGAUAAGCUCAGUGUAUGACGGAUUGAUUAAUUGUUAGUAUUUGAUACAUUUUGUGUAAUUUUUUUUUUGAAUGUGGAUUGAGGAAUAGUACAGUGAUUCUAAUUUGUGCAUCCAUAGUUCAAUUUCAUAUAUGAUAAAUCUUUAUGAGGAAGGUUGUAUGCCAGCUUGUAAUACUGUAGUAGUAAUUUGUGCUUUUCCGAUCUCAAAGUGUGCCAAGCUUGAAGGAUCUCAAAGUUUUGUGUCCAACAAUCACUUUGGCCUCUAUGGGAUAAAAGAUGUGGAUUCCUUUUUUUUUUUCUUUUGGGACAAUGACGUUCACAUUAAUGUAUUGAUGUACUUAUUCUUUUUUUUUUUUGGUUAAAAAUUGAUGUACUUAUUCGAGCGAGCAAAUCUUAUAUAAUUUAACAGUGUAUAUAUACUAUUUACGUAAGAUGAUUAUAUAUUAUUAGUGUUAGAUAAAUUAGCGUAAGAUAAUUAUAUAUUAUUAGCGUUAGAUGAAUGAUAAUCGUGCGAAAUUUGAACUUCAUAACUAUGCAAAAGUUAAAUUUUUGUAUAAAUUUUUUAUUUGUAUAAAAAAUGUGGAUUCAGUUUUUAAAAGUUAAAAAAAAAAAUUUGUUUAAUGGGGAAAGAUAUGUAAGAUUUCCAACAGGGCCAAUGCCUGUUUUGUGCCAAUCAAAUUCAAAUGGACUAUGAAACGUUGAAGUCUUUAAAUGCUCAAUUUUAGUAUUGGAGGCCCAAGCUUUCAAGACGGAUACUCUUCAACAGAAAUCUACACUUUUUUUUCCCUUCAAAGAAAAAAAGAAAUCUACACUUUCCGUACAUUUAUCAUUUGUACCGUUAAGUGCAUAUAAAUUGGAGGGAAUGGAAUUAACACUUUACCUUCUCAACUGUUUUCUGCCAUGAUAUACGAAUUAUGCAUACAUGUCCAACUAAGUUCUUUUAAUCUGAUAUAAGAGACUGAUUACUGAUGCCUACUAGUUCAGACAUCAAUGUGUUUUUUUAUUUCUGGACGAGCAAAUCUUUGGAAUAUAUCGUUGUAAAUGCAAGAAGAAUAAUUGGAAGCAAAUUUGGUUUGUUUAGUUAAAUUGGUUUAAUUUGCAAAAUAUGGCAAAAUUGGUAUAGAAAGGUGCAUGCUCGUUGUAUUUUUUAUGGCAAAAUCUCACUUCUCAUAUUAUUUUUUAUUUCAAUAUUUAUUAGAUCGUUGUAUCCUUCAAAAACAUCUCAUUUUAAUUCGUUUCAUGUCCCUUUAGGUUCCAACAAUUAUUUAUAGGGUAGAAUACAAAAAAUAAAAAACUAAAUAACAAUACAUAACAGAAAACGAAAAAUCAGAAAAUUUAUUAAAAACCCAUUUUUAGUUUAAUUUUAUUUCUCAAGUAUGUGAUCUUUUAUAUUCUGCUCUAUUAGUAGUAUUAGAAUUUAAAGGGAUAAAAAAAAGAAUUAAAAUAGGAUGAUCAUGAAAGAUAUAUGGCAAUUUAAUAAAUGUUGAGGUAGAAAAUAGUAAAAAAAGUAGGGCAGAAAAUGUUUUGCGCGAUUGUAUAUGGCCAAGAGGAAGAACGCGUUAUGAAAACUUCUUCUACUUACUAAACUAAUUUUCUUCAAAUUUGGUUCUACGUCGCUUAAUUGCAUUGCCUUCAAGAGAGACUCAAAAUCCAUGUCUAGUCUUAUAGCUAAGUUUUAUUGAAUUGCACGAACAGUUAAGAGGCCAUCUUACAUAUUAUUGUUCAUUUUCAUGCAAGUAGCACAGAAAUAGACUAUUACCAAAAUGUUGACUUUGGAUUCCCUUAAUAAUUAAAAGUUGGAAAUUAAGUUAUUUUCAUACUCCCUCCAUCCCAUUGAAAGUAUCAUAUUUUUUAUUUUAAGAUUCCACAAAAUAUUUGUCACGUUAAGAAAAUCAAAGCCUUUUUCAGUUUCUUCUUCCAAUAUAGUCCCUCUGUUUAAUCAUAUGUAUGUUACAAUUCAAAUUCAAAUUUUAAAUUUGUGAGAGUAAGAUUGAAAAGGAAAGUAUAAACAUCACAAUCAAACCACUAUUCUUAAAAAGUUGGAUUCUUGAAACACGAUAAAAUAAUUGGAACAGAGGGAAUAAUUAAAGGAUGGAGCUAAUAUACGUAGCACAGAAAUCGACUAUGGCCAAAAUAUUGACUUUGGAUUCCUUAAUAAUUAAAAGUUGGAAAUUGAGUUAUUUUCAUAGUUAAAAGAUGGAGCUAAUAUAAAUCUUUCUUAAUUUCGUAAUUGUCACCUACUGAUUUUCAGUCUGGCUAAUGGAUGUAUAUGACGGCCUUAUGGACGUACAAUAAAUUAAUGCCUAAAGUGUAGAUUUGGGCACAUAGUUUGCUCCCUGGCCUUUUGAUUUCUGUUCAUAGCUAACCAAUUAAUUAAGAGGCAUAUUCUAGAUUGAAUACAAACGAAAUAAUUCAUUCUCCUGAAAUUUUUACACUUGCCGCAAGGAAGACUAACAAAACAAAACCUUGAGGCAUAGUUUAGGAGUUUAGGAUACAAAAGCAAGGAGGAAAAGCCUUGGUCAUUAUAUUUAUAAUUUUUUGGAGAGAAAAUUUCACCAAGUAAAAAGUCUUUUAAAAAAUAACCCCAAAAUUUCUUUACUUCUACAGUUCUUUCAUUACAGACCAUCCAAACUAGUUGUCACUCCACAUUAUCUUUGGACUUCCAAAAAAAAAAAAAGGAAAAGUAUUUGUUACUUUUGGUACAAAGGGUGCUAAAUUUACUUUGGCUUUUCUAAAUUUACACUUUAAAUAUAUAGAUGCUUUUUUUUUUAAGUAGGGCAUCUUGACUUUAAAUAUAUAGAUGACUAUUGACUUGUACGGUAAAUAUUACCAUUUUUUUAAAGUAUGCAUUAAAAAUAAAUUACUGGAUUUAGCAUUUCCCUUAUAUAAUCCACGAGUUAUGUUUCUUAAUGAGUUUUUGGGCUGAAUACGUUCUCGUCUAAGUUGGCUUAUGGACGAACAUGAAACUUUGAGAAUGAACUUGAUUAUGAAGCAAAAAUCUGAAGAGAACCAUCUGUUUUCGAGUACAAAUGCUAUUUGUUUGGCAAACGAUAUUGACAGAGCAAUUAUUUUCUUGGCAAAGCAAAAUUUUACAAAUAUCAAGAUUACCUUCAAUCAAUCAACUUUAUAUACGCUCAUUGAUUUUUCUAUACACUAAUCACUGCUCUUUUUUCUCUCUAAUUAAGUAUUUUAUGUUAUGGUCUCUCACUCUCCCCUCGGCCCCCCUAUUAUUCUUCUCUCUCUCUCUUGCACUCACAUUGAUUGAUCAAUUAUUUUUUAUAAUUAUAUAACCUAGUUUGGUGAUAAUCUUUAUAGAAAUUUUUUUGCUUCAACAAGCUCUUGUUAUUCAAAUCUAACACUUUUAUUCAACUUUUUUAAAACAUGAUUCAACUCCAACAAAUUUCGGUUUAAAAUGAUUUCUGUUAUGAUGCCAUUGUAACUCAAUGCUUUAGUAUAUUUAAAAAUUUUUUUGACAUGCAACAUGUAUUUUUCCUUUAAAUUUUGCUUGUUUAUCGUACCUUUGAACAACUAAUACUAUUAAAAUUUUUACUACAUUUUCCACUUUUAUACUAGACAUGUAAAUCUUGGCUUCUAUUAAGUACUCAUAUUUGUCAUGUAAGCUUUGGUUUCUAUCAAGUAGUCAUAUUCUCUUAUACAUUACAUUACGUUGUAUAUUUCACCCGUCCUCGCUUCUUAAAUUCCAAUAUUCCCUUGCUAAAAAAAAUCCUUUUAUAUUCCUUAAAGAUUGAAGGAAAAGUAAAGCUAUUUAUUUUUGGGUUAUUUUCAUUUUUAGCCUAUUGUUUGAGUUAAAUAUAUAGAUGACUAUUGACUUGUAUUGUAAAUAUUAACAUUUUUAUAAAGUAUGGAUAAAGAAUAGAUGACCGGAUUUAGCAUUUCCCUCAUAUAAUCCAGGAGUUAUGUUUCUCAAUGAGUUUUUGGGCUGAAUACGUUCUUUGUUGCAAAAAUGAAACUUUAAGAAUGGACUUGAUUUUGCGUAAAAAUUUAAAGAGAACUGUCUGUUUUUUAAGUAAAAAUGCCAUCUGUUUUGAUACCCAUUUUGUUGCAAAAAAUUUUCACUCUCACAGUAAACAGUCUUCAAUCAUCUUUUCAUUUUUAAAUUAUAUUUUUGUCUCACAUAUAUCGUGUCACAAAAAAUAAAAUAUUAUAGUAUUAUUCUAAAAAGUUUUUCCAAAUAAUCUUCGAUUCAAGUCAUGGAAAACUUUUGAGAUAGCAACAUGCGCAAAACAGAUUUACCAGAAAAUAUUGCAAGAUUAUAAGAUUGAGAAUAAAAAAAAAAAAGCUUUAUGAGAACUUCUCCUACGCAAUUUUUUUUUUGGUCAAUGGUCAACUUCUCCUACGCAAUUGAUUUACCUGAUUUCCUUCAUUUCUUUUUGGGCCUACCAGGGUAUAGGUGGCAAAUCAACCCAUUUAAUUAAAUUUAUCCAUACUCGUCCGUGAAUAGAUGGAUAUGGAUAUUUUAAAUUUUUGUACAUGGGUAUAAAUGGAUUACUGUCAGGGACACCAGAUAAUUCGACUAUCUAGUGUGGAGAUUAGAAGGAAGAAUUAGAGAAGAGAGGCAGAAGAGGGAAGGAGAGAAGAUUGAAGAGAGAGAAAGAAUAGAAAUUGUUAUUUUUUCAAAAAUGUUGUUAUUACAAUUAAUGGUGGUCCCCACCUUUAUAACAACCUGAUUUUGGUUGUUAAUCCUAACUGACUGAAUACUCACCACUAAACUACAUCGUUUUGAUUGCAAUUAAUCCAAGCCUGACAAUUCCCUACCCAUAAAACAGACUCGUCCUCAAGUCUGAAAUUCAGAGAAUUGAUGUUCAACAGAAGACUUGUCCUCCCAAGAUGCCUCCUCAUAAUCCAAGUGAUUCCAUUUAAUCAAAAACUGAAUAACUGGCUUUGCAUCUCGCAUAAUAACCCUCCUUUUCAGAAUUACUUCUGGCUUUAAUGGACAUUGAUCCUGAAAGUCUAAUUCUGGUAGGGCAAUGGAGCUGCCCUACAUUGGCCCCAAUUUCUUCUUAAGUAAAGACACAUGGAACACUGGAUGUAGUUUGGAGUCUGCUGGAAGCUUAAGUCUAUAGGCUACUGCCCCCACCUUCUGCUCAAUCGGGAAUGGCUUGUAAUACUUAGUUGCUAAUUUGAGACAUUUCCUGAUAGCCACAGUCUGUUGUCUGUAGGGUUGGAGCUUUAAAAACACCCAAUCCCCCACAGAGAACUCCCUUUCAGAUCUGUGAUGAUCAGCAUACUGUUUUAUCCUUUGUUGAGCCUUGGUCAAGUUCUCCUUGAUGCAGUUGGAUAUCUUGAUCCUUUCCUGCACCAUGUUAGAAACUGCAGGAAUCAUGGAGUCUAAAUACGGUCCCAUUGGUAAAUGUAAUGGCCUGUAUCCAAACAAGGCUUCAAAAAGGGUCAUUCCCAGACUUGAAUGGUAGGUGGAAUUGUACCACCACUCAACCAGAGAUAACCACCUGCCCCACUGGGAAGAAAGCUCUCCAGUCAUAUACCUCAGGUAGUUUUCCAAACAUUGGUUGAGUCUUUCACUCUAACCAUCAGUCUGAGAAUGGUAGGAUGAAGAGUAAUGUAGCUCAGUCCCAACUAACUUGAAAAGCUCUUUCCAGAACUUGCUGGUGAAGAUUUUGUCCCUAUCAGUGAUGAUAGACUCUGGUAGGCCAUGUAGCUUAUAGAUGUUAUCCAGAAAAGCUUGAGCAACCUCCUUUGCUGUGAAUGGAUGUGUCAAUCUGAUGAAAUGACCAAACUUGGUGAAUCUGUCAAUAACUACUAGUAUAGUAUCAUAGCCUUGUGACUUAGGCAAUUUCUCGAUGAAAUCCGUAGCAAUGUGAGACCAUGCCUACUUAGGUACAGAGAGUGGUUGCAGCAAUCUGGGAUAAGGAACAUUUUCAGACUUGUUCCUUUGACAGACAUCACACUUCUGUACAAAGGACACCACUUCUUGCCUUAUGCCUGGCCAGUAGAAUAAGUUCCUAAUUUUCUGCCAGCAAUUCCUCUGGCCUGAGUGACCACCUAUUGCUGAAGCAUGUAAGGCCCGUAUAACUUGCUCUCUGAUGUUCCCUGCCUCUCCAACAUAGAUCCUACCCUGGUAUUUCAAUAUUCCAUCCACCAGCGUAUAGUCAUUGUGAGAGUUGGGAUCUAGCACUAGUUUAGCUAUAAUGUCUUGGUAGUGAGUGUCAUCCUCAUAACUUUUUUGCAACUCUGCAAUCCAGCCAGGCUUGACAGAAGUAAGAGCCAUACAAGAGCUCAGUGCAGCUUUAUGUAUAACUUCAUGUAUCCUAAACAAUGCAUCAGCCACCUGGUUUCAUUACCUUUUUUGUACUGUAUCACAUAGUCCAACCCCAGAAGCUUAGUCAUCCACUUAUGUUGAAAUGCAGUGUUCAAUUUCUGAUCCAACAUAUACUUCAGAGACUAGUGGUCAGUUCUAAUGAUGAAAUGAUUCCCAACCAAGUAGUGCCUCCAUUUAGUAACUGCCAUUACUAGAGCAAGGAGUUCUUUUUCAUACACUGAUAAUCCCAAGUUCUUAGCUGAGAGUGUCUUGCUUAAGAAGGCAAUAGGGUGCAUCAGAACUGCCCCUAUACCUCCUCUACUGGCAUCUGUCUCUACUACAAAAGACUUCUUGAAAUCUGGCAACUGAAGAACAGGAGCUGAGCAUAUCAGUUUCUUAAGUUGAUCAAAAGAAUUUUGUGCCUGCAUAUUCCAUUUGAAGCUAUCCUUUCUGAGCAAUUCAGUAAGUGGCUUGCAGACAAGCCCAUAAUGCUUUAUAAACCUUCUAUAAUAUCCUGUCAGUCCCAAAAAACCUCUCAGUUCCUUAACAGUUUGUGGUAUGGGCUAUUGCAGAAUGCUUUUGACCUUGGAAUCAUCCAUAGUGACCCCCUGUUCAGUAAUGGUAUGCCCCAGGUAGUCCACUUGGUCUGGGCAAAGGCACACUUGGAUUUCUUCACGUAUAGUUGAUUACUUCUCAGAAUGUCAAACACAAUCCUCAGGUGAUGCACAUGAGCCUCCACUAUAGGACUGUAUACAAGAAUGUCAUAAAAAAAUACCAGAACAAAUUUCCUCAAAUAAGGUUGAAAUAUCUGAUUCAUCAGUGAUUGGAAUGUGACAGGAGCAUUUGUCAGCCCAAAAGGCAUGACUAGAAAUUCAAAGUGCCCACAGUGAGUUUGGAAGGCUGUCUUGAAAGUAUCCUGAGGUUUCACUCUGAUAUGAUGAUAUCCAGUUGUGAGAUCCAACUUAGUCUUAAGCACAGCACCUGUUAGUUCAUCCAGUAGCUCAUCCACAUUAGGUAUUGAGAAUCUGUCCUUGACAGUUAAUUCGUUUAGCUUCCUGUAGUCCACAUAAAAUCUCCAAGUACCUUUUUUUUUUUACUAGCAAAAUAGGGGAGGCAAAAGGACUAUUGUUGCACUUGACUAUACCUUUCUGCAACAUCUCAGUAACUUGCUUCUCAAUUUCCUCCUUAUGGCAAUGGGGUAUCUAUAAGGUUUCAAUUUGAAUGGCUGAGUUCCUAGUUUGAGAGGUAUUUCAUGGUCCACAUUUCUACUGGGAGGUAAGUCACUUGGGGUCUGAAAUACAUCUUCAUAAUGUUGUAGUAAUUCAGCUACUUCUGAGGGUAUAGGGUCAGCUUCUCUUCCUUUAUUCUGUGCUGAGCUCAUUGCCAUACACAUCUGCUUCUUGUACUUUAUGAAUCUCCUUAAAUCCUUUCUCCUGAUUAGGUCCAGAUCACAAUCUUCUGCUCUCCCAUGCAACUGAAUCUCAUCUUCCUCAUGAUGUAAGGAUAUUCUGAGCUGAUAGAAAUUGAAUGUAAUUGGACUAAAGUGUGUCAUCCAAUCCACUCCCAAUAUUAUGUCCCAACCCCCAAGUUCCAUUACUUUGAGGUUGAAUCUGAAAUUAUGUUGGUUAAUCCUCCAGUGCACAUUAGGACAAAUAGCAUUACUAGUUACACACGAUCCAUUGCCCAUGAUACAGAAAAGGGCUGAUCUACCCAUUGAUACCCAAUAUCCAUGCCAAUGACCAACUCACUGUUGAUGUAACUGUCUGAGCUUCCAGUAUCCACCAGCAUGAGCACCUUCUCCCCAUCAAGGAUGCCCACCAGUGUAAUGGUUUUCCUUUUUAGUGCUUCAGAUAAUGCAUGUAAGGACAUCUCCAUUGCCUGCCCAGGAUUCCCUGUCUGUUCAUCCUACUUCCCCAACUGCAUCUUCAAAGGUAGAUUCCUUCUCUUCUUCUAGGAACAUGCAGUUUGCAUAGCCUACCUUGCACUGGUGGCCUAUUCCAUACUUUUCCCCACACUUGAAGCAUAGUCUAUUAACCUUCCUAUACUGCAUUUCCUGUGUUGAAGGUUUCCUUGAGUCCUUGAAUUCCUCUUGAGGGUUUUUGAACUUGGAAUGUCUGAAAUUGCUACUAGCAGGCACCUUGUAUGAGUGACUCCCAGUAGUUGGUGUAUUACUCCUUGUCAUUCCAAACUUAUGCUCCCCUACAACUUCGGUAAUGUCCUUAGUAUUCCUAUGUUAGAUCCUGAUUGACUGUUCCUGCCACUGUGAAAUCUCAAAUGCUUCUGUCAAGGUAGUAGGUUUAAGCAUCCUGACCAUAGGUUUGAUUUCCUCUUUUAAUCCACUUAUGAAACUGGAAACAAAAUAGUUUUCAUCUAGAUUUCGAUUCUUAGUCAUCAUCAGAGGUUUCAGUUCUUCAAACUUUUCCUGAUAUUCUCUCACACUCCCUUCCUGUUGCAGCUUAUUGAACUCUUCUAUCACAUCUCUGCAAGUACUAUCAUUGAAUCGCCUACACAGUAAAUCACUAAAUUCUUCCCAGUCCAAUUUAGGUUUCUCAAUUUUUACCCCUUGAAACCACUUGUCUGCUCUACCUUCUAGAUACAUUUCAAUGACCUCAACUUUCUAUUCCUCAGGAACUUGAUAGUUCAAAAGAUAUUUAUUACAUUUGCGCAGCCAAUCCCUAGGAUUUGCUCCAGAAAAUAACUGUAAAUCAAUUUUUGGAGGAUUUGGAAUCUGAAACUUACUCCAGUCCUUCUUGAAGGUCUUCUGAACCUCCAUUUCAACCUGUAGUCUCUGGUGAGCUAGAGGAGCAGGUAGAAUUGGUGUUGGAUCCACGUUCGCUCUUCCAUCCUUUUCUGGCACAUUAUCUUUCCCCGUUGUUAUCUUCAUCAGUAGGCUGUUAAACUUUUGUUCCAGAAUUCUAUCAAGAUUCUGUUCCGUUCCAGUGACCAGAUUCUCCAUUCUCUUGUUGCUUUCUUCGAGCUCUAUUUUCAUUUCGCUCCUUAUUCGUUGUUGCUCCGAUUGAGCUGAAUGCAAGGAUUCUAGCAACUCCUGGAGCUUGAACUCCUAUUUCUUCACUUGUUCCUCCAAUGUUCGAAAUCGAGUGCCUUUCGCCAUUGAAUUUCAAAGCGAGCUCUAAGGAUCGAUAGAUCUGGAUACCAAUUGUCAGGGACACCAGAUAAUUCGACUAUCUAGUAUGGAGAUUAGAGGGAAGAAUUAGAGAAGAAAGAAGAGAGGCAGAAGAGCGAAUGAGAGAAGAUUGAAGAGACAGAAAGAAUGGAAAUUGUUAUUUCUUCAAAAAUGUCGUUAUGACAAUUAAUGGUGGUCCCCACCUUUAUAACAACUUGAUUCUGGUAGUUAAUCCUAACCGACUCAAUACUCACCACUAAACUAUAUAGUUUUGAUUGCAAUUAAUCCAAGCCUGACAGUUACACAUCGUUGAAGAAGAGGAGUUUUGGAUUCUUUAUUGCCAUUGUGCACUGGUUCUAUAGUGUUUAUCGAGCCUUUGUUUGAUUUUGUAAAGUUUAAGUUAAUCUAUAAAAUCACUUAUCGUUUCGGAAAAAGAAAAUAUAUAAAUGGGUUACCCAAUAAUACCCAAUAAUAAAUGGGUAUUAUUGAGUAAUCCAUCAAAUUCAAUUAAUCCAUUUAGAAUUAUUUUCCCCAAAUUUCUUCACUUUCCCCACCCAUUUUUUUUUUUAGAUUUUGCAUUUUGUUAUGAUGUUAACUACUUUUGUUUCAUUAUUAUUAUUAUUUGUUAGUUUUAUCUUGUCAUUUUAUUUUCUUUUAGUUUGUUAACCUACUGAUUUUUCAGCAUUACCAAUUUAUGAUAAGUUUUAGCCACUUUUCCUACCAUUCCAAAAUGAAAUUUUAAAUUUACACAUAAAAAAAUGUUAGGGGUUCAAAAUUUUUGGAUUAAAUUUUUAUGUUAAUUUUUAUAGUACGUAGUUCAAAUUUUUAUAUUCUUAUUAUUCAAUUAUUAAAUAGUAUGUAAUUUUGCGACAUAGAGUAGGGAUAGAAAAAAAAUUGGUAAUUAGACUUAUUGAACAUUAUAAGUAAAUUUUAAAAUUAAUGAUGGAUACAAAGGUGGUAUAAAUUGAUAAUUUAGUUUGCAAAAAUAAAUUUAAAUGAGUUUACACAAAUUUAAAAUAAAUGGGUUAUAAAUGGAUAAUUGAAUUACCCAAUUCAUUUUUUGACUUACUCAUUUAUACCCAUCUAAUUAAAUGAAUAUAAAUGAGUUGAUUCACUUAUACCCAUUAUCCAUUUUAUUGAACUCACACCCAUUUUGACACCUUUACGCUAGGGAAAAGGGGGGCAUGGCAAGUAAACAAUAUUUUGCACUAACUGUUGUGGUACUAACUCGCUUUUCAAGUUCAAGAUAGUGUUUAUUUGCAAGAAAAAAUAUCGAAAAGCAAAAGAAAGUUAGUUAUUUUUUUCUUUCAUUCAUGUUUUGGUUAGCGAAAAAAAAGACGAAAAAUUUUCUUGCACUUUCUUUCACCUUCCUGCAUUUUGUGUAUUGCAAAAUUUAUAGGAUUUUGAAGAAAAAUACUUUCCUACAUUUUGUAUACUGCAAAAUUUGUAGGAUUUUGAAGGAAAAAUUUUUAACGGCUAUCACUAACUAUCAUCAACUUCCCAUUUCUUGGUAACCAAACAUAAACUGGAGAAUAACUUUCAUUUUUCCUUACUUCACUUCGUUGCACUUUACUUUCUCACGCAAUUUUUGUUCUAAUCAAACGGAGUGCAGGCGGUUUUAAUUUUUCCUUUGAGUCCAGUGGAGGCCUGUUUAAAGUUCAAAGGGCUUUGGUACUUUUGUUAGUGACCCAAUCGAGUAUGGCUUCCCUUCAUUUUGCCUAAUAUUCUCCACGUCGUAGCCCACAAGCGCUUGUUUGGAUAUCUAGAAUUUCAAAAAAGAUUUUCAAAUUUUGUUUUGCUUAUAUCAUACACACAAUUUUCACAAAUAUAACGUCACAAAAAGUGUUACAAUAAUUAUUUCAAAUAACCUCCCAUCCAAACAACACUAGAUAUAAACCAAAAUAUUUUUAGACCCAGACUGGUUCUUGAUUUUUUUGAUUCAACCAAUUUAACCGGUCGGUUCACCAGUUCCUUGUUUUUAUUAAUAUUUUAAAAAUUAAAAAAUGCUAAUAAUAAUAAAUUAUGUAAAAUAAGUACAAAAAACCUAAAAUGUAGAAUUUUCUCCACGAAAUGCAUACACCAUGCUAUUUCAAAAGCAAAAUCAAUCAAAAAAUUAAUCAUAAUUUCUUUGAAAAUGUAAAAAAAUUAAAGAAAAUUUAGAAAAAAAUUCAAUUCCAUCUCUAACUUAUCUAGUUUUGCAAUGGCUUUGUCAAAUCACCACCACCGUAUCAUCUCAUCUUUUUUUUUCCUUAGGCAUCAUCCCAUCUUCAAUUGAAGAUAAUCAUUUAUCCAAAAAUUUUCUCACAUACUAUACAUGUUUCAAAGGUUUCAGAUUUACAUCAAUCUCAUCAUCAUCUUCACGAUAUACAAAGUAAAUCAAUUUUUCACAUCUAAGUCUUCUAAAAUCUUUUCAUUAUCCUAAGUGUGUAAAGAUAAAAUAUGAAAUAAUACCAAAAAAAAAACAGAAGUAGCAAUAACAGUAGCCCUGCUGCGGUAGUGGUGGGGAUGGCAGUAGCGACGUGAGUGGUAAGAGAUGGCAUCAGGUGCUUGUUGGCAGUAUGGGUGUAAAGAAUAAAAAUAGCAUGGUCACCAGAGAAUAAGGUAGGGUUGGUGUUUCUUUUAGUUGAUAUAGAUUUUUUUUUCCUAUAAAAACCCUCAAGAAAGUUAAUAUAAACACAUUUGAAAAGAAAAUGAGAUUUGGAGAAGAGAAAAGGAGGUGAAGAAAUAGAGAAAAAAAGUUAGAGGAACAAUUGAAAAGAGGAGUUAAUAGCUGGUGACUUUAGUUUUUGGGUUUGUGUGAUUUUAUUACUUAUUUUACUUUUUAAUAAGUUAAAAGUUAAAAAAACUGCAGUUUUCGCAGUUCACCGAUUUGAUAUCGAUUUAAUAGUUUUGAUCGGUCUUGACCCUUUUUUCACAUUGUUCGGCUUUUGUGCUCAACUAGACAGGGAACAUGGUCAAUUCGUGGUUCAAUCAAUCAAACCAACUGGUCUAAUCCGAUUUUAAAAACAUUGAUAUAAACAUAAUGCAGUCCAACUACUCUUUCAUCUUGUAAUAUCUAUACAAGUUAAUUUUUUAAAAUAAACAAACCACAAAUUUAUAAUUUAAUCAUGUGGUCAGAUAUUUUUUUUCUUCUAAAACUGGCAUUUACACUCAAUCAAGUUCAGAUUCAUCCUAUUUGUGUCGAUGUGCUUCAAAUUUGAGGACAAAUCAUGAAUUAGCAAGCAUAUGACAGGAGUGAAUAGAGUUGGAAUAGUGCGUUACUCGAGUUUGAGUUCGAUUUUAUUUUAGUUUAUUUGAGUUUGAGUUCAAGCAAGAUUGGAUCUUAACUAAAUGGAGCUCAAUUAACUUAAUUGAGCUCAAUCAAGCUCAAGUGGUACAGCUUGAUGAGUUUUCAAACCUCACGUAUAAGCCUCAAGUUCAAAUUCAUCAAAUUAUUCGACCUCCUUGAACUCGACUCAAGCUUAGUCAACACGAGUACGAACUCGAAGUUUGACAAUACAAUCACAAUUCACAGGAAUAGCUAAAUUAAUCUCCGCUAGUUUGCACUCCUAUUUUAUACAUUUUCAAGGGGAAGAUCAAAAGGUUAAAUAUCACUGUUUCACAAUCUUAAGAUUUUGCUCCUAUAUUGCUUGUAUGCAUUAAAAAUCGAUUCAAAGUUUAAAGUGAUUAUUUUAGUAACAAUUGAGGGUUAAUUCUAAUAAACCCCUCUUGGACUUGCUUUUUUUUCACCUUGUCCCACUGAAGGUUCAAUUGAACCAAUGCACCCCUUAUUCUAUCACAAUAUUUCCUAUCAAAUGCAAUUGGGUUGAAUAACCCAUUUUGUGUUUGAUUGAGUGUUUAUGUGAAUUGAGUCACAUGAUUAUGUGAAUUGACCGAAUUAUUCUGAAAAAAGUCUUUACCAUUUUGUAUGCCAAAAAUAUUCUUUGGUUGAAUAGAAGCAUGCAUAAGAACUAGAUGAUGUGGAGUUAUCAUCUUCCUUAUGUGAACUUCUUAAAUUUUUAAUUGACAAAUUUAAAGAUCCUGAAAAACUUAGAAAUCCAACUGCCUAUUACCAAGAGUAACCAAAAUCAAAGCCAGCUAUUAUCUACCAUUAAUUGGCAUUUGGCUAGUCUUGGUUAAGGGCAAUUGGAUUUCUAGAAUUUUUAGUCACUUAAUAAAAAAGAUGAGAUAGGGGGAGUGUGAAUAAGAAAAUAGGAAAUGCCAUUUAACAUUUCCCCUUCUAUUCUAUAACUUUUAUACAAGCUAAAUUAUGAAAUAAUAUUUUUUUUGAAACUUAUAUGUGUACCUCAAUGUGUUUUAAAUUCAUCCCAUUUGGUGGCUAUGCUUCAAAUUUGUGGACAAAAGAGACAUAAUAUCUGUUAGGGGAAAACAUCUCAAGAGAGUCCACCAAAGAACCCAAUAUGUAAGUCAGGAAUCCAACUCUGAUUCAAAAGUUUAAACUAUUAUGUCUUCGGCCUUUAUUUACAUAUUAACCGCUUUUUUUCCAUCUCUCGGGCCAAUGUGGGACACAAUUUUUUACUCAUGAAUAUAACAAAUCUCUCCCUUCAUGAGUAACCCCCACAUUAAACCCAAAUUUACAAACCUUUUCGAGCUCACUUUAAUACUCAAUGCAAGUUCACAUUUAUCACCAAGGUCACAUUUUCUCUCAAACAUGGAUCCAUUCUUUUUCAAUAUCCAAACUGUAUUCUGGAUCCCUGCCAAUCCUUGAUUCCUUGGUCUAAUAUCAACCAGACCUUCUGCCAAACCAUGGCGCACCUGGUUCCUUGAUUUCUUGGCACUUUGGUCCACCAUCAAGAAGAGAAUUUUCAUCGGUCCAACUCCGAGAAUAAUGCACUUGCCCAUGAGUAGCCCAAUCUCACAAUCUGAAACUCUGAUACCAAUUUGUUAGGAUCCAAGCGCAGAAUAAACAACUAUUGAGAUAUCAAGUGCACAAUGAUUUAAUGACAACCAAACCACAAGUAUGGAAGAUAAACGACACAUAAUAUUUAACGUGGUUCGACUCUACCAUUGAGCCUACGUCCACGUAGAGAAACUCGUUCUUUAUUAUAAGAGGAAAACUGUAUACAAGAAUACAACUUGAACCCAAACCCAACGCUUGUAUACUAUCUCUCAUCUCCAAUAACCCUCUCCCACCCUUAUGUAUAAGGCUACAUGUUGUCCUUUUAUGUGCCCCUUGUGUGUCUCUUUGUAGUAUACCAACCCACCUAUUUAUAGAGAACAUUAUUUGAUCAAAAUCCAAAUAAUAAUAGGAAACCAAUUUUAAUUCCUAGAUUUGUACAGAAUAAGAAAUAAGCUCUAAUUCUAAACUAAAUAGAAUAUUCCUUAGCUACUACUUCAAGUAACUAUAACCAAUUAGAAAACUAGUUACUUUUACAUAAAAUAAUAAUUCUACCUAAAAGAAAUUAAACCAAUUUUCUAACAAAUUUUCACCUUGGCGAAAAUUUCUUGUAGCAACCAUUUGCCUUCAACUAUCAAAUAAUAUGGUACCGAACUAUACACCCGAAUCAAUACAGUCCUAAUAUCAAAUUGAUUCAAUCAGCAAAUAACUAUGUAUAGUUACCCCGAGUCCAACCUCCAGUUGACUCGUGAGAAGAUGCCUCAAUUCACUAUCUCCCUUUGCAGGAUUUUUUCUCACCAUCACUUGUAAUUCGGAAUCUUCUUUUGUGAGUUUUAACCCUAAUCAUUAAGGCAACCAAGUGAUAUAAUUAUCAUAUUUCUUCCCAUCUUCAGAACUGUCUCGUCACGUGUGGUUUCCAAGACUCCACCUAAAACGAAAAACUCGUAACUCUCAAAGUCUUCUGGCAUAUGAAAAUUAUAUAUUCUUGUUUCUUUGGGACACGUGCCACUAGGACUGUAUUCGAGUCGAGUCGAACUUGAGUAGUGUAGGUAAAAAUAACUAAAUUCGAUGAGCUCGAACUCGACAUCAAUUUAUGUUACUCGAGCUCGAGUUUAAUUAAGUGUAAUCAAUUCAAAUCAAGUUCAAUCGAACUCAAUCAAGUCUAAUCAAGCUCACAUAAUAAAAUUUAAUAUUUUAUAUAUAAUUUAAAUAAAGGAUAUUAUUGACAUUUCACAAUAAUAAAAAUUAAAAUUAUUAAAAAACUCAAUUAGGCUUGUCGAGCUUUCGAGUGCAAAAUAUUAAAACUCGAACUCGACUCGAGACUUCUAUCAAGCAGCUCGACAUAGCUUGCGAGUUCGAGUCAAGCUACUCGGUUCAGCAGUAGCCCUACGUGCCACACCACCCAAAAAAUAUAAUCAAAAUCAUAAAUCCACCGGGAUGAAAUAUCAACCGCUGGAGAUGUGAGAAAAUCUCCAUCUUUUCCUUGACCCUUGAAUCACCGCCUAGAUUCACUGUCAAGUAUCUCCAUACUUUUCAACUUUUCAUCCUUCAUCAUCAAUGCUUUUUACCAAGCCGUUGAAACAAAGAUACCACCCAUUAAAUUGUUCAAUUGGUAAUAACCACCAAUCCACUUGAUUUCAAUAGUUAAUCAAGAUCCAACCACGAAUCUUGCUCUAUUGUCCGUGAGCAGUCCAGUCUCGCAACUAAAUUCUGAUACCACUUGUUAUGAUGAAACACCUCGAGAGAGUCCAUUAAAGAACCCAAUAUGUAAGUUAGGAAUCCAACUCUGAUCCAAAAGCUUAAGUUAUUAGGUCUUGAGCCCUUAUUUAUAUAUUAACCGUUUUUUCUCCAUCUCUCGGACCAAUGUGGGACGCAACCCUUUAUUCACAAAUCUAACAAUAUCCUAUUCUUGUUACAAAAUAAUAAGCAUUUGGUAUAUUGAGAUCUCAGAAAUUAGAGGUUUCAGUUCAAAUUUCUCUUCCCUCUUCCCACUUUUUAAAUUUCACCCCUCUAUUGCUAUUUUUUUUAAGAAAAGAAAAAAAUAUGAUAUAAUACACAUUUUCAAUGAUAGAUCAAAGGGAAAAUCAUAUAAAUAAUCUCUCACAUAUUAGUUUUGUAACUUUUACAUCCCUCACAUAUAAAAUGAUGAUUUUUCGUUCUUGACAUAUUAGUUUUGCAUUUUUUACACCUCUCACAUAUGAAAUGAUGAUUUUUCAUCUAUCACAAAAUGAAAAACACACAUUUUUAGUCCCUUGAGUCAUUUUUACAAAUAUUAUUUUCUGAAAUAAAACACAUACAUCUCAUGCCUUACCAACUUUAAGAGUAAAAUUAGAAUCACAGGAAUACAAAAAAGGAAAAAGUCCCUCACAUUGCUUUCUUCUUUGUCUAACCAAGAAUGUGGCACCAGACAUGGCUUCUCUGUCCCCAUGCCUACGGUGUUGCCAUUAGUCGUCACCAUUUUUGGUCACAAAUUUUUACUAAAAUUCAACUCUCAACUCAGUUUCAUGUGUAAAAUCUCAUUUUGAUAUUACCUUUGUAAAAAACGAACGAAUGUGGGUGAAAAAUAGAAAUAAACACUAGUAGGUAGAAUCUGAUUUCGAUAGGUUUUUUUUUUAAAUCAUUUAGUUAAUAAAAAACACUGACAUGUUUUUUGGAUAUUAGCCGUGUUAGAUUCUAUUUGCCACUAAUUUUUUAAAAAAUUUUUUAUCCAUUUUUUGGAAGAAACUAAUAUCAAAAUUAGAAUCUAUGCAAAAAAAAAAAAGAUCGAGAGAAGAAUUGAAUUUUGGUCCAAAUUUGCGACAGAAAGUGGCUGUAGUUGAUAGCGACCCUCCUAGUGUGGCUGCUGAAGGCAACCAUGGCUGGUGUCACAUUCUUGGCUACGAAAAUAAGACAAAGAAGAAAGAAAUAUGAGCAACUUUUUUUUCCCUUUUCUUUUCUUGCGAUUUUCAAUUCUAUCCUUUAAGUUUAUAAGAUAUGAGACCCACGUGAAUUAUUUCCAACAAGAAUAUUAGUAGAAAUGAACUAAGGGAUCAAAAAUGUGCGUUUUUCACUUGUGAGUGACAAAAAAUCAUUAAUAUUUCAUAUGCGAAACGGGUAAAAGUUAUAAAUUAAUAGUUAAAGGAUGAAAAAUCAUUAUUUUACGUGUGAUGUACAUGAAAGCUAUAAAGCUAAUAGGUGAGCCACUAUUUGUGUGCUUUUUCCUAUGUGAAAAGCUACAAAGCUAAAUAUCAGUCGUUUGCACGCUUAAGAUCCUGCUCCUAGGUGCCUUUUGAGCUUGAUUAAGUAAUUUACAUGCUUUUCUCUUUUAUGCUUUUGGCUUUUUCUCCCAUGAGCUGCAGCGGCGUCCAACAGGGGAAAUAGGACAAACAGGAAGAAAUGGACAAUAGGGCAGGUGAGGUUUCAAAGGGUCUGAUCGGGGAAUAUUCAUAUGGGAUUCUCGGACCGUCGUGGAUGUGAGAUGGCUGAUGACUCCCUUAAUGAGGCCAACAAACACGAGUGGCUUUUCAAAAAUCACGAGGCCAAAUCUACUUAAAAUCAAAGCUAGCCACCAAGACCAACGGCCAGGAAUCUUUCCAAGUAAAGAAAUACAAAGUGAAAAAUGCUUAUUCUAGUUUGCACCCCCUUAAUCUUUCGUCAUUACUAUCUUGGCCCAAUUGAUAGCGAUGUUAAUAAAGUCAACAAAAGUUUACAAUUUUGAUUGUCUCAAAGUUAAAGAAAUAAGAGUGAAAAGGGCUUAUUCUAGUAUGCAUUCCCUAAAAUCUUUUUCAUUUCGAUAUCGGCCAAAUUGUUAGCAACGACGUUAACAACAAGAAGGAAAGGUCCAUAAAUUCUACCAUUAGAAUAUUUGGUACGCAUACACAUUUUUUUCAAUUUUAGCAGGGGUAAUGAGCAUUUGCGUGGAUUCGAGUUAGGUUUCUUUGUCUUUCCUCUAUAACAUCUUUAAUGUAUCAUGAUAUCUAUUGAUUUGAAAUUGGUCAUACUGUAAACCACACGAAAAAUCAUGUCAAAUUUCCACAACUAGAAUGCUAAUUGCAAGUGAGAGUUUGUAAUAGAGAAUUUUAUGACAUGGUUGUGUACAAAUAAGAAAGUUGAAAAAAACAAUUGCAAACCAGUAAAUAAUAGUAACUAACGUUAGAUAAAGUCCUAUAAAUACGUCAACAAAGACAAAUCACGUGAUUUUAUACUAGCCAAAUUAAUGUGUCAAGUGAAAACUACUCUUUAUUAUGUGAUGUUUGCUCCAUCAUUUUGCAUUUUUCUCGUGCUAAUUGGCAUGUUUAUUAACUCUAGGAGCUUUUGUUGAUUCUGAAAUAUAAGUUUGGACCAGCAUACCCAAAAACGAUCGAAACUUCAAGGGUGCAAAGUGAAAUAUCAAGUCUGUAUAAUUAUGUCAAACCCAAUCAAGGCCGUUAAAAUUAGUCAUCCGGGAAAACAACAGCCAAGAUCAUUCCUAAACUAAAGAAGAUUAAAGUAACAAUCACCUUAAAAGCGUGAACAUGUAUCUACUCACACCGACCCCAUAAAACAAGACGCAAUAGCAGUCUGGACUCUGUCGUAGAUUUUCUCGAGGCCCAGCGGCGGAGAAAUUUAGAGACACCAAAAUCCCCGAAACACACACUUGACUGUGUUUGUGCGUGAAAAAGUCCCUUUUUAAAUCCUCACCACUUAUAUCACCUCAAAUAUAGGCUUCUUGUAGCAGUGGCAGUUUCCGCGGAAGGAGGUACUAAGUAGUUGCUUGAAGAAAGAACCAUUUCUUCUCCUGCCUGUUUUUCUCUUUCUUUAAUUUUCUUUUUUUUUUUAUCCCAGCUGUUUAUUCAUUUCCUAUCUUUAAUUGCAUUUUAGCAAUUGCCCUUUAUUAUAUUCUAGGUAAUUUUGGUACUGGUUUCUGUUUUUGGGAAAAAGAUUGAAUUUUGAUACAUGCGGUUUCAUGUUUUGCCUUGGUAUAGGUAGAUCUGAGGCCAUGUGUGAAUUUCUGGAUUGAUAUUCUGUGAAUUUUUGUGGGUUUUGAUUAUUAGUUAUAAUUUAUGCACUGCAGUUACGAGUUUUGUAGUUGUAGAUGGUCCAGUUGCAGGUGGUAGAUCUGAUUCUGUAAUAGCUGAUUGAACUGUGCUGUUAUCUUCUUUUGGUUACUUGUUCAGUUGGAACUUUUGUUGGAAGGGAAUUGUAAUAGUGUCAUAUUUGAAGAAGAAUGAUGAUGCCGUAAAAUCCUGUUUCAUUUUUGUAAGUUGUUGCUUGAAAGAUAAGAUAGUGCCAAUAAAUUUUUGUAUAUGUUUGUAAUUUCCCUGCUCCAGAGUUGCACGGCUAAUUGGUAAAUCUUUUAUUACUUCAUUUGGUUCGAAAUUAGCAGGACUAUGAAGAAACUGAAAGGUAGAAAGUCAUAGUUUUGUACAAUUAGGUGACUUAGAAAAGACAGUGCUUGUAGGCUUAUCUCUGUUCUCCUUUUAGGAUUGUGCUUGAUUAGUUCUUUGAUUCCUUUAGCUUUGUGGUCAAUCUAAUUAGUUUUGUAGUUUUGGGAAGUUGAGGUUUGUCUCCGAAGGAAAAUAGUGAAAAAUAUUGUUACGAAUUUUGUGUAAAUUUUAACUCCUAUUGUCAAAUGAUUGAUUGAGUUCCUUUAUGCUAUUGAGGCUAUAGAUAUUGACGGACUGAUUAGUAUCCAAGCUAUCCGAUUUACCUUUAAUUGACAGCAAGAAUUUGUUGAAGCUACAGAUUUUUUUGGUCGGUGCAUCUCAUGGUGCAUCUUUUGCCCGCAAAGAACUAGUUUCUGAAUCUUUCUUUAGCAACUAGGUGAUGUGUUGUUCUUCUAAUGAGAUGUUUGAUUGUCUGUUACUCAUAUUUUUGGCAUCAGACAUGGCCUCUGUAUUAUUUUUUUCAGUGAUGCUUUAAGAUUGGGAUGUCACUUUAAUUAAAUUCAGUUUUUUCUGGCAAAGAAGAUUAUUCUGUUGGCCAAGCUGUUUAUAUUUCUCUAAUUUGAUUUUUUCCAUUUCCAAUGUUGGACUGAGAUUCUGCUGAGUAGCACUUGGAAUGGGAGUUAGUUCUCUGAGUUAGUCUUUUGCUUUAGAUGAUGAAUGAAUACUGACUAAUUUUGUUUUGAUACUCUCGGUGCAAAAGUUAAAAGAUUAAAGUAGUGCCUUUGCAUAUGUUAGACUUUGUGCUGAUUAUGUAAACUUUCUAUUCUUCUCAUUAUUGAGCAAAAAGAAUUCGAGCUUGAUCAAGUUGUACAGUCAUAUGCUUUGCAAACCUACUUCCCUAUUCUUUUCAUGUUUUCAUGUCCCCUUUUUUCUUUUCCAGUGCAUGAAAUGGCAGCAACAUCAGCAGCUACCCUCUCAAUUGGAUCAACUGCCUGUGUUGGCGCAAAAGCCAACUCGGCUUAUAAUUCAAAGACGUCUGGUCUAAGUUUCAAUUCUCGAAACUGUCUUAGGAGUUUUACUGGCCUCAAGGCAGCCUCUUCUGUGAGCUGUGACUCAGACUCCUCAUUUGUAGGAAAGGAAAGUUGUGCAGCAAUUCAACACUCUUUUGUCUCAAGAGCACAAAAGCCGAGCCAAAGAUCAUAUAAUUAUGUUCAACCUCGGGCUUCUUAUAAAGUGGCAAUUCUUGGGGCUGCUGGUGGUAUAGGCCAGCCUUUAGCACUUCUGAUUAAAAUGUCACCUUUGGUCUCCACUUUGAAACUUUAUGAUGUUGCAAAUGUUAAGGGAGUUGCUGCUGAUCUCAGUCACUGCAACACUCCCUCCCAGGUUUUUGAUUUCACAGGAGACAAGGAGCUUGCCAGUUGCUUGAAAGAUGUAAAUGUUGUUGUCAUCCCUGCUGGUGUUCCAAGAAAGCCUGGUAUGACCCGGGAUGACCUUUUUAACAUAAAUGCCAGCAUAGUGAAGGACUUAAUUGAGGCUGUUGCUGAUAAUUGCCCUGAUGCCUUUAUCCACAUUAUCAGCAAUCCAGUCAACUCCACAGUGCCGAUUGCUGCUGAAGUUUUGAAGCAGAAAGGUGUAUACGACCCAAAGAAGCUCUUUGGUGUCACCACUCUUGAUGUCGUGAGGGCAAAUACAUUUGUGGCUCAGAAGAAAAACUUGAGGCUUAUAGAUGUUGAUGUUCCAGUUGUUGGUGGCCAUGCAGGCAUUACUAUUUUGCCCCUGCUGUCAAAGACAAAACCCUCUGUCGCAUUCACAGAUGAAGAAGUGCAAGAACUUACUGUCAAAAUUCAGAAUGCUGGGACAGAGGUCGUUGAGGCAAAGGCUGGUGCAGGGUCUGCCACACUUUCCAUGUCAUAUGCUGCAGCAAGAUUUGUUGAGUCCUCCCUUCGUGCUCUUGAUGGUGAUAGUGAUGUGUACGAGUGCUCUUAUGUCCAGUCUAAUUUGACUGAGCUUCCAUUUUUCGCAUCAAGGAUUAAGCUGGGAAGGAAUGGGGUUGAGGCUCUGAUCAAAUCUGAACUUGAAGGUUUGACCGAGUACGAACAGAAGGCUUUGGAGGCCCUCAAGCCAGAGCUCAAGGCCAGCAUUGAGAAGGGGAUAAAUUUUGUGCACAAGCAACCGGUGGCUGCAUAGAAGCUUACUAAAGUCGAAGCAUUUAGAAGAUGAAUAAAAUAGUUCGAAAUUUACAGAUUUAUUGAUUGCGGCGGCAUUUUCAGUUUUGUCGGUGACCUGCAGCAAAGGGCUUCCUGCUUCUUUUCUGUUGAAGUGCUUUUGUACCAGAGAAAUGAGUAUACUAAUGUUGUAGAAUUUUGUUCUCAUAUCCGGCCCGUAGGGAACGUUUUGACGUUAGUGGGGCUAAAGAUUUGCAGCCCUUAUUUUGCAAAAUUGGUUAUCACUUUUUGCUUGUCUUUGGAUGCCAUGAUCUGGAUUUUGAUGGAUUAGGCUGCAUAUUUGUUCUACAUGAUGCAAAUUUUACCAUCAAAAUGACUCGCGAAGCCACCUUCCCUAAUAACCUUACAUCAAUCUGGGGGAGAACCAAAUUGUCCAUUGCUUGCAACUUAGGUAGAAGUUCCAUUUACUAUGCCCACCUAUGAAAUAUUGCAAGGAGUACAAUCAAGUGUGACUCUUAACUGCUAAUGCUGAUGCCUCUUCAUUAUCCGUUUACACAGUUUCAAAAGUUGGAGAAGAUUUGGUUAAAUAGGAAUCACUAGGACAUUACUAAAACUACAUGCAGGCAUCAUGUCCAUAGCAUAAUACAUCCUAGAUGAUACAGGUUCUCCAACAUGCGUAUUUGCAAAUAACAUAUUAACGGCAGGUAUUGAAAAAAAGGAAUUAACAGAAUUUCUAUGCCAGACAUACUAACAGAACGGAAGCCAACACAAUGGCUUGGAAAUUGAACAACGGUAAAAAAUAGCCACCACCAAUUUUAUUUCCUCUGUCUGUGUAAACAAUCACUGGCCUAGAUUAAAUGUUCAGAAGCUUUGAACAGAAACCUGGCAUAAUGAUCUUCGCAUUGUUGUAAGUCUUGAUCAAGCACGCAUGUUGCAAUCAUGUUUUAAACCAUGAAUCCCCCGCUUGGACAGAAUCCAAUUAACAAUGGUGUUGUUGUCCUGCGCACCUGCCCUUUUGCAUCUGACUGCUCUCUCUUGAAGGGGAACAUUCCUAGCAGCCCUGGUAGGUAAUACUCCAUUUCGUUUGACAGCCGAGCCUACAUAAUACAAGUGGAAACAAGGAGCGCCUUGUACAUUUCAUUUAACAAUACCUAGCUGAUGCAUACAAGCUAUAUGUUCAACGGAAGUCAGGCCAGAUGCAGCUAUGUGCAGGACUCUGCUUGGGGCAUGUAGAAAUUAUAAACAUUCUAUUCUUGGAGAGAGAGUAGUUGAGCAUUUGAUUCAACUGAAAGCUGAAGAAGCAGGCGAUCAUUAUCACCGCUACCAGUAAUCAUUACAGGAGCAAUGCCCUUCCCUGAAAUGAUGAAACCGAUUACGAUCUCUAAUAACUACUUCUCGAUUAUAAACAGUUGAUACCAUUUUAGCAAAAUUGUGGCAGUCAAGACAUAUUCUUAGGUCCUUUGCAAUGCGUAUCUUUGUACCAGGUGGAGUGGCAAGAAUUGCAAAUGCAAUUGCCAGUUUCUCACUGUGAUAAGACACUCUGGUUUGCUUUUCUUCAGCACCAGUAUUAUGCAAUUCUGCUAUAGUUUCAGCAACAUAACCAGCAAUUUUCAGUUGCUUAUUAAUCUCGUCCAACAUAUCAUAUAUCUCCUUCUUUCUUGGAUGUGAAACAUCAUCGGCCAUAAACUCAUGUAUUUUGCCUUUCAGUUCAAUGGUACAAGAAGCUGGGGUUGUCCGGAUUCCUUUCUCCUUCAUCAAUUUCCGUAUUUCGGUAACCUUCUCCCAAUCAUUGAUUGACGAAUAAAUAUUUAACAACAGAAUGUAAUCCCCUGCUUCUUCAGCUUUGAGUUCAAUCAAAUGCUCAACUACUCUCUCUCCAAGAAUAGAAUGUUUAUAAUUUCUACAUGCCCCAAGCAGAGUCCUCCAAAUUGCUGCAUCUGGCCUGACCUCCAUUGAGCAUAUAAGCUUGUAAGCCUCAUCAAGCAAACCAGCACGACCCAUCAUAUCAACCAUGCACCCAUAGUGGUAAAGAUUAGGCACAAUACCCAGCUGUUUCCUCAUGAUAUCAAAGAACAUGCGACCCUGAUCAACCAACCCUGAGUGACUACAGCCUGAAAGAACUGCAGUACAAGUGUGAUCAUCAGGAACAACACCGACCGUCUGCAUCUUUCUGAAUGCCCUAAUUGCCUGUUCACCGUGUCCAUUACUUGCCAAGCCUGCAAUCAUGGCACUCCAUGUCACCACAUCCUUGUUAGCCAAGCUCUCAAAGACCUCAUACGCCUUCUCAACACACCCACACCUUGAGUACAUUGCUAUAAGUGAAUUAGAAAUCUUCAUAGAGCUAUCAAAUCCACCCUCCUUUACAUACUUAUGAACCUUCUCACCAAAUUCUAAUGCAUUCAACUUCCCACAAGCCUCGAGCACAAGCAAACAAGUGACGUCAUCCGGUCGACGCCAAUUUGACUUUUCCAUGAUAUCAAACACGCUUAAAGCAUCCCUUGUCCGCUUAUUACGUAUAUAGCAAGAAAUCAACACAUUCCAAGCAGCAGUGUCCCUAUGAGACAUCUCAUCGAACACUUUACAAGCAUCAUCGCAUUUCCCACUUAAAGAAUAAAAAUCCAUCAAAGUAGUGGACAAAAAGCUAUCACAUUUAUAACCAUCUCUCAAAAUCCUACUAUGUACCUGUACACCAUUCAAUGAAGAUUCCAUCUUUACACAACAUUUGAUUGCAAACGACGAACAAAAGCCGUCUGAAGAAAAGCCCAAAUCAAGCAUUUCUUUGUAUAGCUCAAAUCCUAGUGAUGCUGCUGAAUUAUUAUGGCUUAAAGAAUGAGCUCUGAUCAUGGUACCGUACAAAGAAACAUUGGGUUUCGGAUAAUGUUGGAAGAUUCGACGGCCAUAAGACAAAUCCUGCAAUGGACCAGGGAGGGAAAUGCGGGAAAGGAAGUGGAGGAAAAUUGUGGGGUUAAGAAGAUAGGACGUAUGAAUGAGAUGGGUGUGGAUUUGAGGCAGAUGGGAUUUCUUAGGGCAGGAUUUUAUGAGUUUAAUUAAGUCCUUUCCUGCUUCUUUCUCGGCAGCUUUUGGUCCGAGGUUUAGAAGAGGUGAUGGUGGGGAAGGGCGGUGGUAGUGGUGGUUUUGGAGUGAAGCUGCUUCUGCUGUACUGAAGAAACGAGCGGGGAGACGAGAAUGGUGUGCGGGAAAGCGAGAUGCGAACGCUCUCAUGGGUGUUUGAAGCUCUCUUUUUGGGAGAAAAAUGGUGGCAAACGAUGACACAAGUUCAAGUUCUGUUGGAGAAAUUCAAAACCCUCUGUUUGGACUUUGGACUGUUGGCAUAUGCAAGAGGCUCCCCUCUCUGAAAAUUGCACAUACCUACCACAUUUUCAUUGUUUAAGUAAUAUUCUAGGCCCAUAAGUUUAAACCUUUUCUCAAAAUCUUAUAAUGCCCUUGGGUUACAACUGACAACAAAAAUAACAAGAAAAAAAAUGUUCAUAGUCUUUAUUUUAUUUAUCCUUACUUGCUAUAACUAUUGUCUAACUAUCCACUUCCAAAUCACCACUAAUUAAACACUUACUUUUGCUAUAAUGUCCCUCUUUUACUUAAAAAUUUUCAUUGCAGACCAUCAUAUUAAUUACAAACGCCGCAUCAGAUACCAAAAAAUUAUCUACAAUUAUAGACACCAAAUUUUUGUCAAAUUUUGUGUUUUUUUGAAUAUUUUCUAUUUGAUGAGCAAUUUAUUUUCUUGCAUUUUUAAGUAUGUUUUUGUCUCAUUUUUGCAGAUUAAAAAAAAAAAAGAGAGAGAGAGAGAAGCCAUGAUUUGAAAAAAAAAAGAAAAAGAAAAAAAAAACAAACACAACUAAACCCAUUUGACAAAAUCCCUUGGUUCUCUCCUGAUUCUCGGGGGACUGACAAAAAAAGAGGGAACGGCGCUUUGGGGCUCAAAAUAUGUACUCUUUCGGCUCUGCCAACACUCAACAUUUUGCAGAGGAGAAAACAGACAAAAAAAGCUACUUUGGCUACAAAAAUUUCCUCACUCGGCUCUCUCUGAAAAAUCGGACAGGCCAACUCACACAAAAACACUCCACUCUUCCUCCCCCAAAAAGACAUCCCUCGGCUCUCUCUAGUUUCAGGAGACCAAAAAGACAAGCCACAAAAAGAAAAAAAAGCACUCCAAUCCCUCUGGACUCACUUGGCAGAGGCAGAAAAAAAGAAACGCACGAGAGAGGAGGAAGGGAAGCUCUCGGAAUUUUGCAGCCUGACCCCUCACUCUCCCUCUCUCGGACUUGGGCGGAGGAAACAAACAGAACAGAAAAAAAAAUCUUCCCCAACUCCUCUCGGUUCCAUCUCAACCUCACACACACCUACAUUGAGGUAUUUUUUUUAGUUUUUGUCUAGCACAUUAAAUCAAUGCUUCAUUGUUUAGUUUUCUCUCAUUUCUGCUGGCUGCCUCGUAUUGUUGUUGUUGCAUUGCUGAAAAUUGGGAAAUGGCAUGAACAAGAUGAAGGAAAAGGAAAUGAUGUCUGUGAAUGCAUAUUAAUUGUUUGAAAAAAUGCCAAAAAAGAUUUUUAGGGACUGUUUUGCCUUAAUGUAGUCUUUUGUUAUUGUUUUCUGGUUAGUUAAAAUCAUAGUUGUAUUAUAGAGGUUAUAAGGAGUAUUGUAAUAUAUUUUUUAUGAUUUUUGGUGAAAGAUUUGGGUGUUUUAAAAAAUAAAAACUGGACUGUAUUUUGACUUUUUGGCCACUUUCAGAUCAUCUUUUGUAAAAACUAACUCCGGAAAUGGAACCUACGCCAAAAAUCAAGUGAGGGGGUGUAUUUUGAGGAUUUUUGGUAAUCGGAGAGGUCACCGGCGGUAGCGGUCGGCGGCGGCGGCGGCGGCGCCACCGGCGACCACCAUGGCCGCCAGCUGAAGCUUCAGCUCGCCUGGGAAGAAGAAGAGACGGAACGAACGGGGAAGAAAGAAAAGAAAGAAGAAGAAGAAAAAAAAAAAAGAAAGAAAAGAAAAGAAAGAAAACGGUUUGGGCUAAUGUUUUUUCUUCGGUUGGGCCAGGAGUUAGUUUUGGUUGGGUUUUGGAAAUGGGCUUUGGUUUAUUUUUUCUUUUGGGUUUCGGAUGGGCUAGGAGGCUGGAGCCCAUGCAUUUCUGGGUCGGGUUUGAGUGAUAAAAUGACGGGCUGGCCUGCUCGUUUCUAUGGAUUUUCGGUUGGGCUUAGGUAGUUUUCGGCCCAAAGAAAUAAAUAAUGGCCCAAUGGCCUUUUUCUCCCCAAUCAGAAAUCAAAUUUUGCACUUUAGCCCCUGAUCUCUGGAGUAGUUCACUUCGGCCCAGAAUAUUUUAAAUUCCUUUCACUUAGGUACUUAAUUUAAUUGCACUUUGGUCCUUGAAUUUUAUCUUUCAUUUAAUUUUGACCCUUAAACUUUGGAAAAAUAUAACUUCUGUCCCUAAAAGUUUUCAAUCUUUGCAAUUCAGUCCCUGAUGAAUUUUGACUCUCUUUAUUAUGAUUGUUUCUUUUCUUUAAUAACUAAUUAUGUUAUUUUUGAACAUAUUCAACUUGCAAUUUUUAGAUGUUCUUAAAUUUCUUUGCGUUUGACAUGUUAAUGUGAAUUUAGUAUUUUAACAUUAUUAUUAUUUUCAAUUAAAGUGGUGCCAUGAUUCUUUUGUUCAUUGUGAGUAUAAAUAGGACAAUUUGACUCCAUUUAGUCACCACUUCAAACGGGAGGUACCCCUAUUUUAUUAUUUCAAUGUCAAUUACGUGCUCUUAUGUGCUCCUAUUUGUUCCUAUGUAUUUAUAUAUUUUUAUAUGCUUUAUUUACUUGAUUUAAAUAUUCAUUCAAAUUUUCUUAUAUAUGUUUUAGUUAAUUUUUAUAAUGAUUCAAGAGGCAUUUAAAUACCUCAAAAAUGUAAUAGAUAGGAUAAUUAGAUUUGUUUUAUUAUAUUUUUCCCUUCUAGAUUGUAGUUAGGCGCCCCCGAUGUAAUAGAUAGGUUGCGUGUUUAUGUGGCUUAUGUGUUAUGUGUUUUGUCCGCUUUUCUUAGGAUUUUGGCAUCUAGAUAUUAUGUUUACGUGUUAUGUGCUACGUGCUCUUAUGUGUUUAUUUGUUUUAAUUUAUGUUUUAUUUGUUUCACUAUGAAUUGUUAAUGCAUGACGUCACCACACUAGUCCAACGCUAGUUGUGGUUUCUCCCUCCGCUUACUUGCUAGUCCAACGCUAGCAAGGAUUUUUAGAAAUGGGCUAGUCCAACGCUAGACCCUUUAGGUCAUCUUGCGCUAGAUUCAUCAUUGUAUGCUAUUCACCACAUUUUCAUGCAUAUUUUCAUUUUUAGGAUCUUUUCUCAUUUGCAUGAUAUUCCCUAUUUUAUUAUCCCCUACCCGCUAUAGGUGCUAAUCAUGUCAUUUAGAAUUGCAUCCCAUUUAAGCUAGUUCAUUUGCUUGUUCAUGUUAGGAUAAUUAUUUUUCAAACAUGGGAAAUGGGUGAUUAUAACUUUCUAGUUUAAAUACCCUAUUAAUCCAUGUAUAAGAAAAUUAUGUCACGAAUUUUUUUGCCUCCCGUACCCUUUAUGUUGCAUUCCCUUUUUCUUUGAUCACUUAUAUAUAUGUAUAUAAUUUAAUUUCUUUUCUUUUAUUUUCUUUUCUUUUUCAUCAUUUGCAUCCUUGUGACACCUUCGAGGAUUUAUUUUGACCUUCGCAAUUAAUGCGAUUGGUUCAAUUAAAUCCUUGAAUGAACAUGUUGUCCCUUGCGAUAUUUUUUAGAUUUGCAUUCAUAUAGAAAAACAUCCAAAUGUGAUAAAUUAAGGGUUAGAUUAGGAAAAUUUUGACUAAACCUCGCAACUAGCUUAGACUAGGUUGAAAGGGUGCCUUAGAUUUGAGUUAAUCGAAUCUUUGCCUUCCCUUUCUUCAACCGUGACUCCCGAAUCCAUUUUCUCUUGUUUUCAAAGACCUGGAGUUGUCAAAAAGGGUUUUAUUUUGUUUUACUUUAUUUUUUGGGUGACUUGGUACACCAAAACUCCAUACCAAGUGGCGACUCCUGUUUUUUCUUAAAAACCCUUUUAGACUAAAUUUUGGACCCAAAUUGUCGCAUUCUUUUUAAGUCCCAUUCUAGGUCCCUUUUAACUUGUUUAAAAAUAAAAUCAUAUCUUUUAUAAACCUCACACUUUAUUUUUCUUUUCCAUCGCGAAAAAUGGGGCGCGACAACAAUCUUAUAUCCAUAUCAAAUUUUAUUAAUAGACAGCAAUAUUCAUCAAUAUGCUUAAAUUUCAAUUCCAUGACUGUCAUCUUUCUAAUACAAAACAAUCUAAACUAUCACUACUAAUAUCAAUAUCUAAUAUACUCCAUUUGCACAGAAUUCAAAAUCAAUCAAAUCCUCUCUUAGGAAUAACAUUACUAACAAUUGCAAAUAAAAAAUAGAACUACAAUGCAGUUAUAAAUAUACUAGGAGCAUUUUUUUUUCAUAACAACCAUAAUAGCAUAAUCUUUAUUUACCCCCUAUUCCACAUCCACUAUCUUCAUCUUCAUUUAAUUUGAUAAUGAAAUCAUCACUCAACUUGUCAUUUGACAAUUCCAAUUUGCUAAUGCCUAUCAAAAAUGGGAAACAAAAAUGGGUGUAAAGAAACUAUUUAAUAAUAAUGAAAAAGAGAGAAUUGGGAAUAGACACCAAGAUAAGUAAGCAUUUGUGGUUGAUAUGUAUGGUGGUUUUAUUAGUGACAACAACAUACAUUUGAUUGAUAAAAAUUAAAUAAAUGAGUGUGGAAGAAAACAGAUGUAGGAAGAAGAGGAUAAAGAGCUAAACGGGAAAGACAAUAGUUUGAGUUAUUGGUAGAUAGUAGAUGAGAGAUCUUUAAUUUUUUAUUGAGUUUUUCGAUGAGUUGACAAUUAAUGAAGGGUAUUGUUAUCUUUUUAUCACACCAAGGGAGAUUCUCAUAAUUAUGUAAAAAUCAAGGGAGCUGAGUGAAAUUAUCAAAAAUUUUAGGGGAGGUUUCUGAAAUUAUCUCUUUUUAAUUGGUUGAAAAAAGUUAAAGUGUGUUUGCAACAUGCUUACAGAGAUUUGUACAGGGCAAGCCUCCAAAACUGUAGCUUGCUUACAGAGGUUUGUACAGAUCGUCCACCAACACAGGCACAGCCUUCUAAUUGACAGUGAGAUUUGAAUACAUGAUCUUUUGUGAGAAAGUAACCCAUUUUUGCCAACUGAACCAACUUAUUGCAUUGGCACUAUUAUAUGACCACUUGCCACUUUCUACCUUUUCCCUUUCCUUUUUUCAAGUUUUGUUUAGGUUGAUUUUCAUCUUGGUCCUCUAAAGAAGUUUAAAAUCUCAAUUUGGUCUUUCGAAUUAUAAAAAGGGUCUAAAUUUCAUCUUACAAAAUAGCAGACCUAAAUUUGGUUCAUUAAAUUGAAAAACCUUCUAGUUUGAUCCUAUUUAACAUUAAUAGUUGAGUACCAGUAAACAAAGAUCAAAUAGAAAGUUAAUCUAACUUUAGGGGAUGAAAAUUGAAAUUCUAUUUUUUAAUGGAUCAAAUGGAAUUUUGUGUUAAGACUCUUUUUGGUUUGAGGGACAUUUUGAAAUACCAAAAUGAAAAGAGUUAUGUCUAAAAGGUGCAAAAUAGUCACUUGUUGAUGGAUCUAAAUUAUUUCAAAUUUAUCACCUAAACACAUAUAUUUUUGCUCGUUGUACUUUAACAUUUAAACAAGUACUUUAUCUAACUUCAAUUUUCUUUUCCCAAAAAAGUAUCAAUUGAAACCUAUCUUAUAUAUAUAUAGAAAUCACAAUUUCAUUCACUUAUCUUGAAAAGUGCUCAUUGGGCACCUUUAAUUUUAAAAUGAUAUAUACGCUUUUUGCACAAAACAAGUAUGAUUUAUGAAUUGAUACAGGACACUACCAAAGAGAAAAUCUGAUGUGUACUUAAUAAACAUUUUUUUACAAAGUUUCUUUUUUUUUUUUACAAAAGUGAAAUUGAUUUGAACAUGUAUUUAAAUGUAAGAAAUGAAACAACUUGGUAGCCAACCCUAACAAUAAUAUAUAUCAACCGUAGAGAAAAGUCUUUUCAGUUUUCAUAGAUUGAGGGAUGUUGAAUCAAAGCAUCGAAUCUAGGUUGGAAUUUUGAAUAGAGGUGUAAACGAUUUUAAAGAAGUCGAAUACUCAUAUGUUCAAAUUUGUUUGAUUAUUUUGAUGAGUUUGAAUUUUUAUUCAAAAUUAUCUUAUUUAUUUCUCAAGCAGUGGUCGAACAAGAUUUUAUCGAGUUGAAUUUGAAUAACUUGAGUUUUUUUUUACAUGUAAAUUUUACUUUUACGCUAUUUGAGUUGGAGUUAAACUGAACUUAAAAAUUUAUUAAACACAAAAUGUUACUCAAACUUCUUCUUUCGAGAAACGAAAUUUGACUAAUUAAACCUAAUUCCAGAAAUCAACUCAAAAGUCGGCAACUCUUGAAUUGCUUCCAGAGAUUUAACUACCCAAAUCCCAACCCCCAAAGCGACGUGGGAUAGAAACCCCGACGGCACAAAAUGUUACUCAAACUUGAUUUGAGUAGAUAGCAAACCAAAUCGAAACAUUGAGCUGUUUGAUUUGUCUUUUGACUUUAAUUUUGGGCUGAGAUUCAGUUAAAAGUACGUGCGCCGUCGAAUCAAUUCUUGGGACUGCGCUACUCUUUGCCCAAAACAGCAAAAAGUACUUUCCAGACGGCCAAGCACGAACCGUCCAAGUCUUCCAAUUGUGGGCAUUAAAUGCUAUGAUCCGCCCAAUCUUUACUCGGACUGAAUCUGAAUCCAGACUGCCGCUACUAGAUUUUGUUUUCGGGUUUACGUGUAUGCAUGUGGACUGUAAAUAGCAGCAAAUUUUGAAGGUUUAGUGCUCAAAAAAUUCGUGUCCCAAUUGCAGGAUAUAUAGGUUGAUUGAAUUUGUUAAUAUUGGGUUUAUGCUACCAAGAAAGUCUAGUAUUCUUUUCGGGAAGGGUAGGCUGUAAAUUGCAAUGUAUUUAAUUAUUAUUGAAUGUCUCAUAAAUAUAUUUUUUAAUCACUUAUUUAUUUUAUGUAUAUAAGCAAAAGGUUUUCAGAUUGUUUGGUACUGCAUUUUCCAUUAAAGGGUUACUACCUAAACAUCGGAAUUCCUCUAUUAGUACAAAAUCCAUCGAAAGGUCAACGACAGUUCUUAAAUUUGAUUACAAAGCCCUCAAACUGCAACCUAGGUCUAGCCAUCUAAGUGUUGCUUGAUCGUUCGUAUUCUCCCCCCUCCAUUUCAUGCAAUACUUAGAAACCCUUUUCAAUAGCCAUUAUGACAUUACAUUAACUUUUUCUAAUGACUUAUUUAUCUCCUCAACGUCACAGCAUCAGCCCAAGAGGAAUUUUAUGCCUUGUUUACUGUUUGAAUUAAAGGGAAAGAAGAGGUCACAAAAUACUAAAUAUGAUCAGGCAAUCAUCUCAGUGUCAACAAUCGUAGACUUAACCAUAUGCACAAGUCCUAAAUGAUGUUAACUAGUUAUUAUUAAACUAAUUAUGUCUAGAACAAACAACAAAAAGGUAAAAGAGAGAGUAUCAUCAACUUCCACAGUUAACAUCACAUAUAUAUAUGUAUACACAUUCUGCUUGGGACAUCAGAUGGUGCUAGGUCAAGAAAAAAAAAAGGGAAAAGAUGACUAAAAGUUUUAUUACCACUUGAGAAAGAUUCAACCAGAAAUCAAUGUGUUGGGGGAGGGAAAGCAGUCAGAGAACAGUAUCUUAAGCUCCUCCUCUUGUUGAUCAUCAUCUACCCUAGAGCCAAAAUCGGGAAUAGCAAGAGCAUUAACUUCAUGAGGGUUAACUCCAGAGUGAGAUGGAGAUUCUUUCACCAUCCCCAUGAGCUUUCUCUUCUUGUAAUUAGCCUUGAAGCAUGCUUGUCUCAAUCUCUUGGUGUUAUCUUCAAGUUGCAAAUGAGGUAUUUCUUCCAACAUUUUCUUUUCAUGCUCCAAUAUGUCUAUGGCUUCUCUAAACUUCCUUUCCGCUCCCUCGCCUCCCUCCUUUGCCAAUUCCUGCAAAAGACAUCCAUCCUCACAACUAUGCCUCAUACAUAUUGACCCAAAAAAAAAAAGACAAAUAAUGGGAUACUCUUCACAUGCUAAUAUAUUUAUACAAUUUUCUGUACUUUGAUGUCUAAUGCACUCAUAAUUAAGAAAAGAGAUAGUUAAGAAUGCACUAAUGAAUGCAACAACCUACAAAAGACAAUAUUGGUCUGAGGUCUUCUCUCUUUAGGUGACUAAGGUCUUGUAAGGGUGUAAAUUUGAAGAAAUGGUAGUACUACAUUAGCGAAGAUUAUAGUUAAGAAUUCCAAGUCCUAACAACCCUAUACGGACAAUAGAUGCUUCAUUGCCAUCAGUAAAUUGAAAUUCUCUAACAAUAUACAUGUAACAUGCUUGGUCCUUGGAGCGGCUGUAGACCAGAUAUACCAAGAAUUAAUUAACUUGAUUAGGAAUUGAAAGGUGAAAAAACCUGGACAUUCUUGAUUAGGGUUUGAAGGCUCAUCAACUUUCUAUGAGGCCAUCUUCGAAUUCCCAACUCUCUACACCUUUUCUUGAGUAGUGUCAAUCCAACAUUAAGCUCCUUGGCGGCUUGAGUAAUUGGCAUGUAAAAAUAAUUGGAGAUGGUUUUUCGGGAUAAAUUCUUAGAGCUAAUAGUCCCACCCUUCUCCUCUCUGGCCUUUUUCAUUCCCUUCUCUUCCACCACAACUUCUUCCUGACUAGUUAAUUGUUCAUUGCUGCCAGCCAAUAAAAGCUGCUGAUUUUGUAUAUCAAACUCGGGACUCUUUUCAUUCCCAAGUCUAAAGCCACUGCCAUGAAAACCUUGCCAUGAAUCUGCUGCAAGAAAAUAUUUUCAAAAUCCCAUUGUAUAAUUAGUUGUGAUUAGUAAAUCAUGUAGAUAUAAAGAGAUGAAGUUGAGUGUUACAUAAUUAUUCAUCACCUUGGAACACGUAGUGGCUCGGAUCAAUAUCCAAUGAUGCGUACGAAGGAUCAUUCAAACAGCUCCCCAUUAUAGGAAAAGCAUCAAAAUCAGGGUCUCGAAAGGGAAAAUCAAGUUGUGAACCAGAACCAGCACAUCCAGGAUUAUAGGUACUUAGAUUACAACAACAUGCACCACCAAGAAAAUUUCAGUAAAUCAAUUCCUCUAGAAUAACUAGAUUAAAGUGAAAAACUUAAAAGCCAUAACAACAAAAACAUGAUUAAAUUUCACCUGAAUUCAAGAGGAGAUAGUUGAGUUGGAAAGGAGAAUGGAUAAACAUCUUCUUCUUUGGUCAUUACUUGAAAUUUUGACCAGCUCUGAAAUGGCUGAGUUCCCAUGUUUGACAAAAGAAAUCAGAAAUGGUUUUUCUUCUUCUUUUGUGGGUUUUUGGAGUUAACUAAUGAGUCGAUGACUAAGUUACCAAAUUUGCAUGAGUGGUUCAGAUAAAGAGAAAGUGGAGAUAGAGAAACAUAUACGUGUAUAUAAGGGAGAAGAAGAGGAGUCAUGGAUCAAUGAAUUUGAAUGUGAGUCCUUGAAGCAAUAAUAAGAAUUUAGUGCAUGGGAGAUUGUGAGCCGUCACAUACAUUAAACAAGCACAUAUUACUCCCACACCUAUUUGCGUAUUAAUUAGGAAGGUUAAUUUUAGCUUAGAUAUCCUCACAUUUGAGAAAUAACGGUUAAACCACUUUAUUAAUCUUUUGUUUAUUUAAAAAUUUAUUUAAUCAGAUUACUGAAUAGCCUUAGUGGAGCGAAUACACUGAUAUUAUUGUAAUGGAAUAGAAAUUUUAAAAAUAAAUUAAAAUGUUUCUAGCAUUAGAAUUGAACCUAGUCUAGUGAUCAAGUCCUAGAAUGAAGAUCUGACUUACGUGUUUUGUUUUGUAUUUUUCAAUUUGUUCUGUAGCGGUUUGAUCACAUAUAUUGGUAUUCAAGAUUUUGUAAUUUAAGUGAUAGAAAAAAAUAUGAGCUUUUCGAUAUGUCUCUGGUUCAAUGCUAGAAUUGUUUUUGGAGAAAUUCAACUAUUGUAUGGAGACAUAUGAGUAUUAUUUUAGAAGAUGUAGUAUUGAAUGAAUUUAUAUGUGUAAAUUUCAAGCUAAAACACUAUCAACUUGUUAAAUGUGCAUAAGAAUUUAGGUAAGUUACUUUUUUAAAUGAUAAAAUUGGAAAGCAACUACUGGUUUGUGUUGGCUUUAAAAUAGUAAAUCUUGUUGUAGAACAUAAAAAAAGUGAAAGUACAAUAUUAAAAAUAAGAUAGAUUGAUUGUGUUUUUAGGUGGAAAUUACCCUAAAUGCAACUUUUGGAGUUUGGUGGAGAAAAAUAUAGUUCCUUGAAAAUUUCCCUCAUUACAUCUGCAUUCAUAUUGGAUAAGUAUAUCAUGCUUGCUACAUAGUUAUAACUCAUGAGUAGGGGUAAGAAAAAAAAAAUUCAUGAGCAGGGGUAAGAAUUGGUUGGUACUGGUUAUUUGGUGUUGUGAAAUCUGUAAUAUCAGUGUAUUGGGCUCUAAAAUUAACGGAAUCCAUUCGAAUUGAUCAAUACUAAAUUGACCUCUAUAUCAAAUUGAAGUGAUAUGGAACUCAUAACAAAAUCCUAACGAUCAAUUUUAAUUAAAAGGUUAUAUUCUUGAGUAGAAACAAUUAAAUAAAAUGUUAUAAAUUUGUAAAUAAUGUUAUAAAAUGUUAUAUUCUUGUGUAAAUAAUUUUAAAUAAAAUGUUAUAAAAUUUCAACCAAAAAUAAAUAUUUUAUGUCUAUAUAUUUAGGGUUAAUCUCAUAUAAACUGAUAGUGCAUAUGCCAUGGGUAUAGAUACAAGCCAACUAAUCAUAAUUCAUAAUUUGAAUUUAACCUUUAAUUCUUGUAUAUGUGACAUACAUCUAUACUGCUAGUGCAUGCACAAUCAGUAUAUAUAAGAAUAAUUUGUAUGUCUACUUGAUUGGUUGUAGUUUUAUAUGACUAUAAAUUUAUAUGUACCUUUUUAGUGCAUUUAUAUAUUUAAAUACAAAGAGUGGAAGAAUAAAUAUAUUCAAUUAUCCUUGCACUCAUUUUGAAUAAUUAUUAUCUAUAUAAUUAAGUUUUAUUGCAUUUAUAUGAGUUUUUUGCCAAAAUAAUACUCUUUCUAAAACAUAUUCCCAAUGUGAUUCACUUUCAAAUUUUAUUCCCAAAUCGAUGUUAUUGUUGCCACCUAAUUACCCUGAUUGCCAUGUAGGAUAACAAAAAAGGAAAGCUUUAAUCUAGCUUAUAGUUUCCAAUAAAAACCAAAAAUUUAAACUUUUUUUUAUUAUAGAGGCACAAAAAAAUUGCAUAACUUUGAUAAUUUCCUUAUAAUUAUUUAAAAUAAAUUCUACCAUUAUUGAGCUUGCUAUUAUUGCUUUCUGCAACUUUUUUGAAUGUAUCAAACUUAUUGCAUAUAUUUUUCAAAAAUAAAUUUGUAAAAUGCAAAAAAUUGCAAUGAAAUUUGUAAGCAAUAACAAGAAAAAGUUACCAAAACUUCAAGGCUAUCAUAUUUGUUUAUGUUAUGCUUCCUACUCCUUGAAAAGAACUUUUACAAAAAAUAAUCAAACUAUUGUAAUUAAGAUAAUGCUAAAGUUUCUCAAAAGUAAUACAAGCCAUUAAUUGAUGUUGAAUAAAUGUGCAAAAAUACUUCAAGUAUACGAGAUUAUUUGAUCAUGUGGUAGAGAGGCACUACAAAUGAACAUGCUUAUAUAUGUGACGGAAAUCAAACAUAUUAAUCAUGAAUCUAUGUUGUUCCAUAGUUUUCCUCUUAGACAUUUAUCAAACGCACGGUGUGAGAAAUCAUUUGUUAAAACAAUUAGUAUUCAAAAUUUUUUGAAGGGCAUAGGCAUGUUCCAAAAACUUCACAAUAGAAAAGACAAGAGAAUAAUCUUUGUUUACCUUGAGAUUAUCAAUUUGAGGAGAAUAUUUUCAUCCAUAGAUACAAUAUCAGGAAUGAUAGUGAUGUUUUAGAUGUUGUUAAUAUAAAUAUUGGCUUCUCACAAUUACAUUUGACAAGGAAAACACAUUUGGAUAUAUGUUUCAAAAGAAGAGUUAUUUUGGCAAUAAACUCCAUUUAUACAUACAUACAUACAUAUGUAUAAUCUGUAAUUGGGCACAUAUUAAAAAUGCUCACCCCACUUUAAGUGAGGAAGUGGAUCAUAAAUCCUAGAUUAUGCGUUAUGAAAGUAAUGCCAGCAGUAAUCAUAUUGGAACUUGCAAAUGAAUUAGCACUUUAUGAAAGUAAAGCAGCACUGUAUAUCUUGUAUUUAAUAUGGAAUAAUAGCUAAGUUUACAGUAUUAAGACCUUCAUCGGAAGUUAAAAAAUACAUAUUAAAAUUUAUCAAAUGAUCAGAAACUAAAUUCAACGAAACAAAAUUGCAUUCGUCUUUUGCAAAACAUAUAUAUCAACUUUCGUGCUUGACCUCUUGUCAAUCACUUUGACUAGUUGGAUGUUUAGAAAUAUUAUCCUUUUUUCCCUUUUUUUGGGGUUUUAAUUAAUAUUAUCAACUAGUGAUGCUGUCGAGUCAAGUCGAGCUCGAAGGUUAUGAGUACUGCUCGAGCUCGAGCUCGAGAUCGAACAAACCUCAAACUUCAGACUCGAACUCGACUCGAUGUAGUUAAAAAUAACUCGAGCUUGAACUCGUAUAAUAUUUGAACUCGAGAACUCGAGCUAGGCUUGUAAAAUGAGCUCGAAAACCUUUGUUUUCUAGACCAGAAUUCAGCAAAAAUUGAGUGCAAAAACUAUGCUUUCCUUCAAAAAAAUAGCAAUUCAUAUUAAAACAUGCAUUUUGCUUCAUUUCAAUGCAAAUGCUAACCAAGUGAUUCGAGCACUCUAAAAUCAACAGUAUCAAACUAGUUAAUAUGACAGAUAAUGUGACAGUUUCUUAAUAGCCAAAAUAGCCAUGUAAGCAAAAGAAAUAAAGAACUUGAUAUUAAUAGAAUUUAGUCACAAUACACUGAACGUACAGAUUUGAGAUCAAGUUCUCUAUACAACAUUCUAUUAAGAUCCAUUGCCAAGAUUCUAUACAGCAACUCAUGUACAGAUUUUAAUCAAAAGUCAAAACACAACCUAGCAGCAACAUUCACUUGAGUCAAAAAAAAAAUCACUAGAUUCACUACAGCUAUACAGAUUUGAGUCCAAAGUCAAAAAUCAAAACACAACUUGGCAAUCAUAGCUUGUCAACAUUCACUUGAGUAAAAAAUCACCAGAUUCACCACAACUGUAUAGAUUUGAGUCAAAAGUCAAAAAUCAAAACACAAUUUGGCAACCACAGCUUGUCAACAUUCACUUGAGUCAAAAAGUCACUAGAUUCACUACGGCUGUACAGAUUUGAGAGUUGAGACAAGUCAUUUGAGAUGUUAACUGCAUAGAGUUCAGAUUCCAAAAUUUCAAGUUUCUAACACCUAUUGCCAACAAAAAAAAAAAUAUAAGUCCUGUCAAAUAUUACCAAAGACAAAAAAUGAAUCAAAUUAAGGUACAAAGUUAUCGAGAACUCUAAAUAACCACAAUGCCAAACCUGAUUCAAAAUGAGCGCUUUGCAAUAUAGCUUCAAAUCUUGGGCAAUUCAAUUUCUUUGAUUAUUUUAGCUUGCUGCAUUUACAAUAAAAACCACCCAAGGCAAAUAAUUUAGAAAGAAAAGAAGUCAUAACUUGUUGAAAUUGGCCACAAAAGUUGAAUGAUAAAACAAUAAAACUUACUUUUACUUUCUUUGAGAUCCCGUGAAGCUUUCUACACCAGUCCCCUACACAUAACAACACUUGAACCAUAUCUGGAUGAAGGAAAGCACGAUAGCUAACAAUAAGGUUCAAGAUAUGCGCACAGCAUCGAACAUGAAAUAACUUGCUGCCACCUAAUAGCUUCUUCGAUCUACUAAAAUCAUCCCGCAAAACUCUAAUAGCCACAUCAUUGGCCGAAGCAUUGUCAACUGAAAUUGUGUGUAUUUUCUGCUCAAUACCCCUAACCUUCACACACUUGAAGAGUGAAGCAGCAAUCUCAACCCCUCGUCUAGGAGGUGGUAUGUGAACAAAGUUGAGUUCUCUUUUGUAGCUUCCAAUCCGAGUCAAUCCAAUGGCCAGUGAUAACCAUAUAUUCGAUCUUUUGAUUUUUGGAUUUCCAAAGAUCGGUUGUGAGGCUCACCUUUUUCACAUUUCUCAACUUGUUCUUCAGCUUCUUUUUCUCAAGUUCAUAGACUGCCAUACAAUCAUUUUUUGCUACUCCUCUAGUGAUCUUCUGCGACUCGGACAUGCUACGCUUUAGGAAAAUAUUCAAACCUUCUUCUUCAAGAAUGGUGAAGAGAUGUUCGUACAUCACAAUCCAAUGUGCAGCUGCUUCUCUCAUUUUCUUCAUAUCAAAUUUUCCAGUAUGCAAAGGUGGUACAGUAGGAAAUGCAUCAUCAGCCGGCUGAAAGUUCAGUUUCGUUUGUUGUGCAACUUGUCUUAAACUUGCUUUUCUAGAUGGACAUGACUUCCGGUGCCGCCACAUGCUAGAUGUUUGCUUUGAUUUACCCCUUGAUAGCUUUUUAUUGCAGUAAAGGCAAAUGGCAUAGUAAUUGCCAUUUUCUUCAAAUUCGUUGAAGUCCUCUCAAAAUUCAGAAGUUUUAUUUCGUUUCGGAAUAUGGAAUUCAUCAUCUUCAUCUAAUUUAUCCUUUUCUCCUUCUGUAUUGUUAUCGUCAACAACCACAGCUUGUUGUCCUUCUUGUAUAUUACCCAAAGCAGUACUUUGUGUAAUCGGAUUAGUCAUCGUGUUUCCUAGAUUCAUCGUUGACUCAUUGGAGACAUAUAUUAGGUUGUCCAACUCCAAUAUCAAUGGAGUACAUGAAUUAGCAUUGGAAACUAGUGAGAUACAAGAAAUCUCGGGUUGACUGCCCUUGCCUUGGGUUGACAUCAGUCCAUAAACACAUGCAGUCCAAGCUAAAGAAAGAUAACGAAUUUUCAAAUCAGGGCAAGGGAAUUGGUUAUAAAAGAGAAUAGCUAAUCUUUUUUGACUUAAUAAUUAAUGAAGGGAUUGCUGUGCUAGUUCCAAUUUCAUCAUUAUUCGUUUAAUUGAGCAUGAAAGUAGCUCUUCUACUGAAGCAUCUAUCUAUUGCUUAACCUUGAUGUAUUUGUAGCCUCGGAUAUAAGAAAGAAUAAGGAACUUUCUUGUAGACACUCAUAAGUUCUCUAAUAUGUUCUUAAAUUGUGAUAUUCUUUUUCCUUUUUUUGCAGUUUUCAUGUGCAAAAUGGACCCAAAGCUGCUGACUUUAUAAUGGUUUCUAGUGAUAAUCUAGAAUGUGAUAAUCUAGUGCCUUUACUAAUCACUAGUCCUUUGUCUUUUAGGAUGCUGUAGCUGAAUGGCCUCCUCCGCAACCCAUCGCAUUUAAUUUUGAAAAUAUUUCUACAACAGAGAGAGUUGAAUGAGGUGGAGUUCUACUUUUUACUCUCUAAUUCAUUGUCUUUGGCAAGGGAAUGGCUGAAUGGGUAAUGAAAGUUGAAAGAGAAUCGCUAAAAGAAACAUGCAUAUAUAUACCAUUAAUCCAAAAAAAAUAGAAAACUAAAGGGGAAACAAAGGCAAAGAAAUUAGUACCCUUUCACCCUUGACAGCUUCCCACGAGCUCAAGUUAAAGUGGUGCUGAAAACCUCCAACUUCAGGGAGACAAAUGAGGUAAGGGGUAAUAAGCCAGCAGCGGUCUUUGAAGCUUACCCCUCACCAGCGAGGAAGAGACGUGACUUGAGAGUUGAAAAGAGGAAGAAAGGCUUGAUGGGGACUGGCUGAUUCACGAUAGGUACGGUGGAAAACCUCUAUUAGCUAAAGUAGACUUGGCCCACUUGGGAUUUCUUUUGAUUGCGUAAAUUAGGCGCAACGGAUCUUCUGUCCCACACUCUGUGCCACUCUCUGUCUCACUUUUUAUUAUAUUACUAUUUCUCCUACAUAAAUAACAUGUUUUAAUUCUUUUUUGUUUCCUUAAGAUCCAAUAACUAUUAAUUUAAUAAAAAAUAAAUAUAACAGUUUCAAAAAAGCAAUAUAUAAUAGAAAAUUUAAAAAUACAGCAGAAAAUUCAUAAAAAAUCUCAUUUUUUAUGCAUUUUGAUUUUUUGAAUUUGUUAAAUUUUGUGUAUUACUCAAUUAAUAGUUAUUGGAUCUUAAGGAAGCAAAAAAGAAUUAAAACAUGAUGUUUAUGUAGGAGAAAUAACAAUAUAAUAAAAAGUGGGACAGAAGAUCUGUUGCGUAAAGUAGGACGUCCUAACACCUAAAAGGAGAAUGCAACUUGUGGACCAUUCUUUUUAAUUUAAUUAUCACGGUUCAUUGCACCAGACAACAAUUUAUUACCUAAAUUGAGAGGCAUCCCUCAGAGUUAUGAGCCAGUGCCUGUGGGGAGGUCUCUCUCGACUAAAAGAACUUAAGCACUUUUCCUUUUUAAUGUUUUCAAAUUAAGUUCUCUAAAAACAAAAAAUAAGAAUUAUGAUUUAUGAAAUUCCUACUUUGUCCACACAAAUAAAUAAAGGUGGUAGAAUGGUUCAUUGUAAAUUUCAUAAGUUAUUUACCUAUACUAGUAAUUAUAUAUAUUUUUUUAUUUUUUAUGCGAUACUCGAUAGAGCUCAUCGAACUCUCGAGUAUCAAAUUUCUAAAAUCGAGCUCGACUCGCUAGCUCUAACGAGCAGCUCGAGCUCGAUCAAAUGAUCUUGAACUUGGCCUUCUAAUUGAGUAGCUCGCGAGCUUGAGUCGAGCUACUCGAUUUAGCUCCACCCCUAUUAUCAACCCUGACAACAAAAUUGUUUAGUUGGGAACUAGAUUGCAAUGCAGACAUUAUUCAACUCGUUGAGAGUUGAUAUUUUGACUAUGAGUUGAAGUGACUAAUCUGAGGCUUUGUGACUUGUAAUCAAAUAUUUGUGCGCAUUCUUGAGCUGGUUUUGCUUUAAUUACUCGAGUCACGUUAUUAACAAUAGACCAGAUAUCGUUCUUCAGAACACCAUUUACGAUGAAAACAUCAUUAUAGAGGCAGCAUUAUUAACCAUGAACAGAUUGCCAAUGCAAAAUGAAAAUACAUAAUCCCUCCAUCCAACUUUGAUAUACUUAUUUUUCUUUUUUAUUUAUCCCAAAUUAUAGUCCGCUUUUUAAAUGAAAAAUAUAGUUAAUUUGUAACUUCUCCAAAAUACUUUUAUUUAAUGUAAGUUGUUAUUGAGUAUAACCUAAUUUAUUUAUUGUAAAGCUAAUUAGUCAUCCUCCAUUUAAUGUAAGGAUAUUUUAGGAAGACAGUGAACUAGAUUUAUUCUUCCAACAAAAUUAAUUAACUUUUCUUGAACCGUGUGGAAAAAAAAUCAAAUCUAUCAAAAGAAAAAAAAAAAACAAAACGAUCCUCAUGUUAUAAAUUAUGGCUUAAUGACUAGAUUGCACGCUUGUGGCAGGAUUGCCAAGUAUAACGCGCCAAUCAUUUGUUUGGCGAAAAUGAAAAGGAAAAAAAGUCAUUAAUAUUUUCAGAUCAUUGGAUAGAAGAUAGAUUUUGGUAAGUUACAUAUACACACAUUUCAGAUGAGAUUUAUAGGUAACGUUAGUGGUGGGCUAGCUCAGUAUAUCACAUUAUUAAACCAUUAAUACAAGAAAAAGGUUACAGUGAAGAAAUUUAAAUGUAACUGCACUUCUUUAUCAUUAAAAAAAGAGAAUGUUAAUUGUGACAUUUAUGAUCAACUCAUUUAAUUACUUGAGUUUAAACUGAUGAGUAUGUUUUGAUCACUUCAUCAAGAAAAAUAUCUUUCCAUCAAGGUUCACUUUAACCAUCUUUCCUCAGGAAAAAAAAGGAGUUAAAACGAAACAUAAAGAAAGAAGGGAGAAAUCUGAAAGUUGAAUAUUGUGUGAAAAAGAAUUUUUAACCUUUUUUUUCACAUGUUCAUGCAUCUUUUUGUGAAUAUUGAGAUGCCGCUUAUAACAUCUUUUGAUAAUUUGAACACAAGGAUUAGGAGGUUUUAGUCCUUAAUCGACUAACUUAUUUUUGUUAUCUACUUCUGAACUUCCAACAGUAAGAUGUCGUGACUGAUCAGGUCUAGUGUUGUGGUAAUUGUUUUAUUGAUCUAAUUUUAUCCUAAUAAAAUGCCUUAACUUGAUACUUUAUUACUUUUUGGUGAUAAUACUUGCUUAUGGUGGGAUUGAAAACAAUUGAAGAAAGGCUUUCCGUUUUUUUGACCAAACAAUCUUCUUGGCUCUUGGUUUAUUGAUCCGUUUGAUGUGUAAGUGUGAAUUAUGGGUUGGAUAGCUUAGGGAGAAGUUGUACAGCUUGUUAGCUGCUUGAACAGUUCAACUAUUAACAUUUGCUUAUUUCGGGUCGUAGGAAGUAGGAACUGACUGUUUUGGGAGUUGGUACUAGGUAGCAACAGUUAAUAUGGUGUUUUUGUAGUGUUGCUGUUCUUAUUAUACGUUUAAUGACACUUGAACUUGACUCAAGUCUUGACUCUUGACAAUUGACUUCACUAUUUCACCUAUGAUGUUGUUAUCUUGUAUUUAUAUAUGGCUCUGGGGCUUUGUAAAUGAUUCUGAAAUCUGGGAUUUGUCUUUUUUGACCUCUUUUUGAUCUAUUAAAUUGUGGGUUCUAUUUGAAAUUUGGGUUUUGUUUCAAUUUUGGUGUUUCUUGAUAAUUCUAAUUCUGAGAUAGAAAGAGACUUCUUGGGAUUGAAUUCAAAGAAUUAUGUUAUUGUUGUUAAGGAAAAAGCUGUCGAAGGUUUCAAGGACUUUGGUAAAAUUAAACCUAUCCUUUUUCUGUCCCUUUUUUUUUUUGUCAUUUGUACAAAGCAGAAUUGUGUUUAAUUUGUUCCUUCUGUGUGAAUCAGUUAAUCACAUUGGCUUUGUUGGUUUUUGAUUGGCCAAACCAAAGUUAAAAGUUUUUGUCUUCAGUUGGUCUAGUAUUGGUUUUGAACCUUUUGGUAUUGGAAUUCUAUGUUAAUUCUAUUUGUUAGUAUUCAUUUCUGAGCCUUUUAUGCAAAUUUAUAUAGCAAUGCAAGUUUUAGCUCAGUUUGAUACUUUGAUGUCAUAUUUAGGGUUGGAAUUAAUUCUACCGCUAAAAUUUCGUGUUUCUACCUUCGAACUCGAGCCAAGUACUCUAGCUCAUUAAAGCUUGUAGACUGCAUGAUUUUUUCGAGUCAAACUCAAGUUGCCGAACAUGAAAUCGAGCUCCAGUUCGAAUUAGAAAAUUUCUAAUCGUUUGAGUUAAAGUAGUACUUUUUUAUUUUCAAGUCGAGCACGAGUAUGAUGCAACUCAAGUUUGACUCAACUCGACUACACCUUAUUUCAUGGACGUAAAGUGCAUGUUUUUAAGGUUGAGGGUAAUAAAGCGUGACUACCCCCAAAGCUUAAGGGGCAAGUGUAAUUAACCCUAAAUAGAAUGAUGAAUUUCUCAUCGCCAAAUUUUGCUGGGCUUGCUCUAAUGGAAAACCUUGCUUGUUGGAUCAAGAUGAUCGCAUUAAACUAACAAAUUUUGGUGAUAAAGAAUGAAACUGUCUUAACAUAUUUGUUGCUGAGUAGAGACUAGUGGAUAAGUUGUAAACUUGGGAAAGAUAGCGAAUGUUGUAAAUUUAUAUGGUCUUUUCGGUUGCUUCCCCUUUUAAUUUCCUCAAUUUGUUCCCUUUGUCCAUACAAGGGAAGAAAACAAAUAGUACUCGUAUUUCAUUUUAAGUACAAUGGAUGAAGGUGGCAAUGCGGUGGAUCCCAAAUAAGCGAAUAGUCCUUUUCUUCAUUGAAGGAUGGAAUGUUAAAGUUAAUUGCACUAAGUUGCCCCGUAAAUUCGAUGUGAUUUAGAUUGGAUCCUUAAAAUACAUUGAGGGGUUCUGAUUGUGCCUGACCUUAUUUCCAAUUUUUUCCCAUUCAACUUCUCGUUGGCAAGCUUCUCUUAUCAUUUUGUAGUUUAUUUUUCUUUUAUUUUUUAUGAGUAAAUUUUAUGUACACUGUCAGUAUAUAAACUGCCACGAUUGGAUAGAUGACACAUGAAUAAAAUUUGAAUUUAAAUUCAAAUUUUGCACAUGUGUCAUAUAUCUAAUGGUGAUAGUGUAUACACUGACAGUAUAUAUAAGAUUAAUCCAUUUUUUAUAGGUCAAAUUAAGAUCUAAGUUUAAAAAAAAAAAUUUAAGAUCUAAGUUCCAAAAUAUUCCUUUUUUUUUUGGGGUUCAAACUAAAAGAACAUGUCACAAAAUUUAGUAAAUUAUUACUACUAUUCAAGGUACUCCAAUCUCAAAUCAUGACGGUCAAUUGAAGGGAUUGAAUGCAAAUAUAACAACUGAUAUAAUUGUGCCCAUAUGCAUAUCCUAAACAUUUUUAAAUUCCGAGGAAAUAUUUUUGGUUACUGAUCCUUCUACGUAUUAUGCUUGUUUGCCAACUAUUCUAUGAUUUUUCCAAGGCAAGUUUUGUGAUUUAUUGCUGCACCCAAAAAAAGAAAAGGUAAUUGGUCUCUACACACAUUCAAAUGCAUGACGGUUUUUUAAGUGGUGGAAUUCCAUUUUUAAGUGCAUUUUUCCAAAGCAAAAAAUUUGAUCUUCUACUCAUGGGUAUGAUUGCAAUUAAUUGCUAGUUGGUUUAUGGGCAUUAAUAUUUUCUCGAUAAACGGUUAGCCUAUGGUUUGUUAAGGGUAGGAAAGUACAAAAUAAUAAUAAUAAUAAUAAAUGUUAGGGAGGUGGAAGCAAAUCAUACCAAACUUAAAAGGGGGCUUGGUGCAUUUAAUCCAAUAUUAAGUUUUUAAUUACAACUGUACAUGGUAAUCCUAAUCCAAUAUCCCUACAAAAAAAAAUCCUAAUCCAAUAUUAAAUUUUUAAUUCUAAUUUAUGGUAUGUUUCUUGCUUAGACUAAUUUCCUUUUUUCCUGCUCCAUUGUUAAUCAUUAGUCAAUUUGAUCACCUAACGGUAAUUUCUUACUGGUUUUGAAUCCACCAAACAACAAUGCCACCAACAACUUGUGGUUGGCUACAUUAUUGGAAGACAUCGAAAAUUUGAAAGUAUUGUUUCAAUUGUGUUUCUUUUGUUUAGUUGGAGAAGAUAAAAAAAAUAUAAAUUUAGCAACAGAAUCAGCAAUUAUGCUUUAGGCAUAUGUCAAGAUGAGGAAGUGAUUAAUCCUCAAUGUCAUUGAACACCGUUGUAUAAUUUUGAUCGAGUGUUUGCUCGCCACCAUAAAGUUUCAUUAUAAUCAAUACAAAUCUCUUAACGUUUUGGGAGAGAAAAAAAAAAAAAAAAAAAGAAGUAAUCCUUUAGCACUCUUCUAAUGGCUCAAGCGCAUUGCUUUUGGUUCAUAUUGGGUUAUUUUAUUAGAUUUUACAUGAACUUUAUUCUUUAACUCGGAAUUGUGAUCCACCAGUUAAACAUUGAGUAACAGCAACAAGUCCCAGAGAGGUGGAAUUCAUUCCUUUUUCAUUAGCAAGUAGUCUUUGUAAUUCGUAGGUUAAUGUUGGAUAAUUUCUUGCAAAACGAGGGAGAAGUGUAAUUUCUUGCAUCUAUCUUUUUUUUUUCGGAGAUGAUAAUAGUUGUAUAACCUAAUCUAUUCUACACUAAGGGGGAGGGGCAGACCUAAGGAGGCCCAGGGAUAACCCGAAGGGAACUGAACCACCACCGAAUCAAACGGAUGCACAACAUACCCGUCUGAAUUUUUUUUUAAGUAAACCAUUUAAAUGUGACAUUUUGAUGAACCCUUGCCUCCCACCCCACCAAGCUGGGAGGCUGGUGGCCACCAGCCUUUGAUUUCUUGCAUCUAUCAGUGAAGAGAUUAUGCUGGAAUGGCGAGCCCUAUGGUCAUUUGACUGUUUUAUCUGGUUUACACGGUAGUUAGAUUGGCAUUUUGCAAUUGCUACAGGGACACCGCCGGACUCAAACCAAUUCUUUCUAAGCACAAGGAUUUUUUUUUUUUUUUUAUCUUUUCUAUUUCGGGGUACAAAACUAGACCAUUUUUCUUUUAUAUUGAGAUGGAGUAUCAAAACUAUUACAAGAAAUACUAAACUCAAUUACAUACUAUUGUCCAAAUUCGUAUAUUGUAACAGAAAUGGUAGAGAAACGAACAGAAAUCUAAAUAUAGAAAGGAAAAGAAGAAGAAAACAAAAGCUUUGAAGACAUAUUCUGUAAGGAGGGUUGAAUUGAGUGAUAAGGAGGGAGAAAUUAUAAGUAAGAGAUUUUGGAUUUAAAACCUUUCAUUUACCAAAAAAAAAAGUUAAAAAAAAGGACAUAUUUUGCAUGCAACUAUAAAGCAAACCAAGUAAACUCACCAAAAUAACCAUCUGCAAGCUAAUUUUGAUCUAAUUACUAAAACUGGAUUUUUCAGGUACUACAAUAAUGCUAAUUUCAAAAGCCAAAAUAAGAUAUAUGGGCCAAAAUUUGCGAAGACAGCAGUUUAGCUAGAUGGGAAGA
rnacentral:lncRNA from 1 species